CAGAAUCGACUAUUCGUCGAGUGCGUAGGCUUCGGAAAGUCCGAAGGUGUUUGUAAUGCAUAAAGUGCAUUAAGGAGAGGUCCGCGAGAGCACCAGUGCAAAACUUGCACUGGAGCAGAAAUGCUCUCGGGGACCGGUCCCUGGCAGGGAGGGACCGGUCCCAUCAGGCUGGGUUGUGGAGGUCUCUGAUGAGACCGGUCCCUGGUGGGCAGGGACCGGUUCCCGAACGUUGGCCCCAUGAAAAUAGCCGAAAAUUGGCUAAGUCCCGAAAACUCAGCUUUCGGGAACCGGUCUCUCGGACAAGGACCGGUCUCCCGGGGACCGGUCUCUCAGGUAAGGACCGGUUCCCGAACGCGAAAACCCCUCUGCCCGAAAUGGCAGCCUUCGGGGACCGGUCUUCCCGAGCUGGGACCGGUCCCUCACUGCGAAAAUGGCCCAGGGAGGGCUGUUUCAAGGAAUGAAAAGUUGAGGGAGCUAACUGCAAAAUGGCCUUUAAUAGAGGUGGGGGAUCCCUCUCUUUCCCUCAUUGCUCUCUAACUCUCUCACUCUUUCCCUCUCUCUCUCUAGAAAGAGAAGAAAGAGAAGAAGAAGAAGAAGAAGGAAAGGAAAGAGAAGAAAGAGAAGAAAGAGAAGGAGAAGAUCAAGAAGAAGGAGAAGAUCAUCUUCUUCCCUCUCUCCUUCAACCUAGGGCAAGCUUGGAGCUUAGGUUAGAGGUAAGCUUCUAACCCUCUAAUGGUAAUUCUAGGGUUUUGGGUUUUUAUGGUUUAGAAUUGGUUCAAAUUGAACCUAUUGGGAAUAAACAGAUGGUUCGAGCUCAAAAUCGAAGCUCGCACCAUGGAUUUCCCUCUCGUCACCAUUCUAGGGCACGGAUUGGGAUUUUGGGAAAUUUAGGGUUUUGAUCUAUCCUAAUAGGUUGUAAACCUAAUUGCUAGGUCUCUGAACGCGUCGGCGAAGACGGUUUGCCGAUCCGACGAGCGAGUGCAGAGUUAUCGCCGAAUCGGGUACUCGAGGGCUCGCUUCGCCCCGAGGAGUUGAAGCGGCAUAUAAGAACCCCAACGUCGAGUUUUCUGUUGUCGCGGCAUCGCCAAGAGGUGGGUGGUGUCCAUCCCGAAGCAAUCGGGCUCCCUUCUAUGUCUUAGUACAUGUCGACCCUUGCAUCUUGUAUUAUUGCAUUAUAGGAUGAUUAUGCAUUGCCUUUCCUUAUGCCUUCCUUGAUGAUAUCGUAGCAUGUAUUGGAUAUUUGACAUAGUGGAUUGAUAAGGAUUGGGUCGAGACUUGUGAAUCCUAUAGUGCAGAGAAAGUGAUGGGCUCAAUGGUUGGUCUAAUGUUAAACAAAGAACGAGUGGCAUCUAGUCGAUAGUAAACAAUGGACGAGUGGCAUUUAGUUGAUAGUAAGCAAAGAACAAAUGACACAUAUGAGUCGUAGCGUAUGUGAAGCCUAUGGACUAUAUGAUGAUUGUAACCCUAGAGGAUAGGGUAUUCUCGAGACGAGGAUUGGAUCAUGCUUACGGUCUGUUUCUAAAUCUUGUGAUGGAAGCCCCACACAAGUAGUGCGCUCCGGAUGUUGGUCACGUGGGAUUGCCUAUCUUGGGUCCCAAGGGAUUUGCCUAUUUGACCUCGCCAGACGGUCUCGGUUCGUAGUGCGAGUUGACCCUCCCUACCUUCGAGAUGGCUAGUGAGCUGUAGGCGAGCCUUCGGGUAAGCCACGAGAUUGAUGAACAAGUAAAUGAGGUAAACAAUCGAGUGAAUAGCUUUAUCUUUGGACAUGAUAACCGGUUAGCUGCUUACCUAUUUCAUUGUACAUGCAUCAUAUAUUAUGAUUGGGCAUAGUAGAGUAGUUUUAUUCUUGUUAUUUACAGCUUUUCUUAUUAUCUAUCUAUUGGUAUAUCUACUUGUGCCCGCUUGGACCUAGUGGGGAGAUCGGCGGAGUCGGCGGCCGAACCCACUGGGAACUAAGGAAGUUAGUUCUCACCCCCAUUUUACUACAGGUUCCAGUUCGGGUGUCCCCGGUGAGCGUGAGGAUCGCGGUAAGGGCCCGGCGUUCUAGUCGCAUUAGCUACCUCCCUUUUUGCAUUAGCCGUCACCCUUUUGUAUUUGAGAGUAGAUGAUGUAUAGGGUGAGGUUGAGUGCUUGUACUUAUGUUUUUGGAUGAAUGUAAAAGAUGUACUUAAAUGUAUUGAGCCAAUGGGUGUAAUAGAUUAUAUCUUCUCUCUUAUGUACUUGUAUAUUUUCUAUACUCGUAUCUUGCUCUUGGUUGUUGCACUAGUGGUGCUUCUUGAUCGUGUAUUUAUGAAUUGAUUCCUAGGUAAAUUCUUAUACAUGAUCUGUUGGUUGCCUUUGGCGGACAGGGGAGGUCCUGUCCGUUCGGCGUCUGUUCGACGCGCCCGGGCCGGACCAAAUUGGUAGCGGUCUCGGGGCGUGACAAGCUACAUGCCUCAAUUACAUGUAUAUGCAUCAACAUGAAUUCUUAGCUUUCUUAGACAUAAAGGCAACCUAGUCGCUUCGGUAAGCACAACCCACCUUAACUUGCGUUCCGAUUGCUUGUCGACACUUGCAAUCGGUCUCCCGCGGCACCCGUAUCCGGCACGGCCCAAUAUUGCAACUGCGUCACAACAGUGCUCCGCUUCGUAGCCCCAAAAAUUAUAGGUCUGCAGUUAUGUAUCACGGUGCCACCAGUCCAUUUUCAUGACCUUACGACGUCGCCUCGGCCCUCCAGGCGGAAACGAAGCUAAAUCGCCUGUUUCUUCAAUAUCUUUAUAACGGCUUGACAAAUGGCUGAACCGACUUCGCCAACGCGUUCGUUUACCUAUCAAUUAGGUUUACAGAGGUGUAAAUGAGAUCAAACCCAUCUAUUUACAAAAACCCCAUUUUGAGCGCAAAAUACUCCAAAUCGAAUCAAGAAUUGGGUAUUUCCCACUUAUUUAGCAUGCUAGGAUUCCAUCCAAACCAUCCUUAGAGGGUAUAAACCAAACCCUAAGAAGUUACCAUUAAAGACCUAGAAGCUUACCUCUCUAGGUUUGCUCCAAGGUGAGGAAGAAGAUGAUGGGAAGGAAGCUCUUUCUCCUAGCCUCCAUCUCCAUCUUCUCCAUCUUCUUCUUCUUCUCUUCUUUCUCUUCUUUCUCUUCUUCUUUUCUUUUUCGUUGUUAGAGAGAGAGAGGGAUGGUGUUGGGGUUGAAACGGUGAGGGAAAGAGAGAGAGAGAGAGGUUUUAAUCCUCUCUAUACACUUAACCCAUGCAACAAUUGCAUAGAAACCCCCCAACAAGUCUCUUCUUGCAACAGCCCGAACUGGGCAUUUUCGGGCUACGGGGACCCGUCCUUGGAUGAGGGACCGGUCCCUUAGAGACCGGUCCCUGGCUGAGGGACCCGUCCCCGUAUGCAUUCCAGCCCAGCCUCAAGGACUUAGCCAAAUUUUCAGCAUUUUCGUCCGUUUUCACUCGUUUUCGCUCGUUUGACCUCCGAUUCACUUCAAAUCGAACCGAGACUCUCCAUACAUGUUUUCAAGCAUGUUUUCAUCAUCUUUCCAUCCAUGCUAAUGCCGGAUUUAGCUCAUGGUCCAAUAUAGCCUUUCGGGUUUCGUUUUCGCGCCUACGCGCACCGAAACGCCCGAUUGCUCCCGAACUUCACCGAACUUCACCGGAACUAUUCAAAUGGCUCUCCAACCAAAUGUACACCGUAACUUCAUGAUUUUAGAAGUCCAGUACCUUACACCCGCCCUGAAACCCCUACCAAUUUGGCACGGUUCGGGCGCGGCGAAUGGAUGCCGAACGGACAGCACCUCCCCUGUCCGCCUAAGGCUUAACAACAAAUCGAGUACAAGAAUUUACCCAGAAUUUUAAAUUCUAUAAGUACACAAUCAACGGGGCACAAACAGUGCCAACAACGAAUAGCAAGUAAUCCACAAGAUAACACAAGUGAAAUAAAGAGAAUUUUUACUAACUAUUACAUUAAUUGCAUCUAAUUAUAUCACAUUCUUUUACAUUCACAUUUUCCUCAAAAUGAAUACAUACUCUCAAGUACAUAGCCCUCCAAAGUCCUCACCUACAUGAAUCUCUCUCAAAUACAUAGGUGUGCUAAUGCAAAAGGAAAGCUACUACUCUACCAAUAGUCCUCACUGGUCGGGCGCGAUGGCCCUGCCGCGGUCCUCGCCCGGCAAACCUGUACCUAGCCCUGGAAAUAGAGUGGGGUGAGAACUAUCUUCUAUAGUUCCCAGUGGGCUCGGCCGUCGACUCCACCAAUCUCCCCACUAGGUCCAAGUGGGCAAAAGUAACGACGAAACAGAUAAAUAGAUAGAUAUCAAAGCUGUAAAGACAUAAUAGGAAAACUAUGCUACUAUGGCCAUAAUCAUGUGUAAUGAAUGCAUGCAUCAUAUAGUAGAAGGUUACUUUCAUGCUAACAAAUUCGAUCCAUAUUCGAUAAACAAUGUUCAAAGUCAUUAUUAACUUUUCAUUUACCCAAUCUGUGGCAAAACCCUUGGGUUUGCCUACGACUCACAUAUCCAUCCCAUUGGGUAAGGAGGCUCCAUGUGCCCCGAACCCGGGACUAUCUGCGAACAACUCUGUCCUAUCGCCCGACACUCCGGAGUACUCGACGAUUAAUCCUCUCCAUGUGAGGAUAUGGAUGGAUUUACCAUCCCGAAUAACAGACCGUGAGCUUGAUCUAUCCUCUCCACGUGAGGAUACCUUACGAACUAGGGCCAACAUUCUCUCGGAACUCACCUAUUCCGACUUUCAUGCAUAGUUACUUAGCUUUACUAAGUUCAUUGUUCACGAGUCAUUUUCUAGGGAAUCCACCUAUCCCUAAGUUCAUGAACCUCUAGUGUCAAGUACACUACAUAAUGCCACUCGUUCUGUUCUUUAAACAUUUAGAUGCCACUCUCUAUGUCACUAAAUAACCAUCGAGUUCAUCUCUUUCCUUUAGCACUAUAGGAUCCAUGUUCCAACCAAAUUCUUACCUAUCUAUUUCACCAAGUAUUCCAUGUAUACUAGGUUAACAUUUAGAAGCAUAAGGAAAAGGUACUACAAUGCAAUCCUACAAUGCAACAUGCAAGAGAUGAGAUUAUAUGUUAUUCUAAGACAUAAUAGAGAAUUCGGUUGCUUCGGGAUGACACCCCCCACCUUUUGAGGGUAUGAAGGUUCUAGAAAUGCUUCUCGCCGAACGUUACGACGAUGUCUCGGCCUCCUUAGUCCAAAACGACGCUCAGUCGGCUAUAUUUUGCCGAUAGCUUUACACCCGCUCGACGAAUCAUAAAUCCAACUUCGCUCUCGCGUUUAGACACCUAUCAAUUAGGUUUACAAGCUACUAAAUGAGAUCAAUCUCAUCAUUUAUCAAAAACCUCCAUUUGGAGCCCUAGGUUUGCACCUAUAGCAAACCACUCCAUCCAAACCCUAGAUUCUAGCAUUGAUCUAUUUAGAAGCAUGCUAGAAAUCCAUUUGACCCAUUUCCAAAGCCAAAAAUCCAAAACCCUUAGCUCUACAUGCUAGGGUUUAGUAGCUUACCUCUUGAGCUACUCCAAAGGGAUGAAGAGGGAGAGAAGAAGGUGGUGGAGAUGAUCUUCUCCAAGCUCUCCUUCUUCUUCUUCUUCUCCUCCUUCUUCUUCUUUUCUUUUCUUUCUUCUCUUUCUCUUUUCUUUUCUUGAGAGAGAGAGGGAGCUGAGGGAGAGAGAGUGUGAGAGGGAGUGCUAGAAUGAGAGAGGGAGAGAAUGAUCUCCCCUCUAUACCCUCUAACUAAUGGCAUUUUGCAUAAAAGCCCCUCCACUUUAACCCUCUCAACUUACUCUGCCUAGGCAGAUUUCGCGCGAAGGGACCAGUCCCUGGUCGGGAGGACCGGUCCCCUAGGACCUUCCCAAUUUUCACGUGUACGGGAUCCGGUCCCUGCCCGAGAGACCGGACCCUUGAGGACCAGUCCUUCCCGAGAGACCGGUUCCCGAGAGCUGACCUCUCGGGACUUAGCCAAAUUUUCACUUCUCCCGCUUGCUUCACCUACGGGGACCGGUCCCUCAGCCCUGGGGAUCGGUUGCAUCAGGCAAUGCCGCAACCACCAGCUACGGGGACUGGUCCUUCCCUGCCAGGGACCGGUCCCCGAGAGCAGAAUAUGCUAAGUGCAGAUUUUGCACUAUUUGCUCUCGUGGACUCGACUCCAAAGCACUUUUUGUGUUUUGGACAUCUCUAGCUUCUCCGAAGCCUACUCACUCGACAAUUAGUCGAUCCUGGACGAAGUAUAACUCUCGAAUUUCGAGAAUUCACUUUCUUACAUCCUCCCUUCCUUAAAAAGAGUUUCGUCCUCGAAACUGAUUCAACUUAAAUUUAAACUCAGUUUCCAUACCUUAUUCUUCAAACAAGUGAGGAUGAUUCUUUCUCAUCAGAUCCUCGAGUUCCCAGGUGCCCUUGCGAUCAUCAUGAUUGCUCCACCGAAUCUUCACGUAGGAAAUCUCGCAAUUUCGCAGCUUUCGCACUUCUCGGGCGAUAACCAUCACCGGAAACUCCUCGUAGCUCAAGUCUUCUUGGAGUUCCGGCAGCUCGUAUAGCAUCGCAUGCUCAGGGUCAUGAAUGUACUUGCGAAGGUUGAAGACAUGGAACACAUUGUGCACAUCCGCGAGCUUCGGCGGCAAGGCAAGUCGAUAGGCCACCGUGCCAACUCGCUCCAAUAUCUCAUAGGGUCCAAUGUACCGGAGAGUUAACUUUUCCCGCACUUUAAAUCGCUUUACACCCCGCAUUGGCGAAACCUUUAAGAAUACGCGGUCGCCCACCGCGAACUCUAUGUCUCGACGGUGCUUAUCAGCAUAGCUUUUCUGUCUCGACUGCGCCGUGAGCAAUCGCUUGCGAGCAAGGCGGACUUUCUCCUCUGCUUCUCGCAACACGGCUAGACCGAACUCUGUACGCUCACCCACAUCGCUCCAGUGUAUAGGAGACUGACACUUCCGCCUAUAGAGGGCCUCGAAUGGUGUCAUCUCCACACUAGCGUGAUAACUAUUGUUGUAGGCGAACUCGGCCAUUGGCAAAUGAUCACACCAACUCCCUUUAUAGUUGAUGACACAUGCUCGCAACAUAUCCUCCAGAGUUUGAAUGGUCCUCUCUGUUUGCCCAUUUGUCUGAGGAUGGAAUGCUAUACUAAAAUCGAGACGUGUGCCAAGGGCUUCCUGCAGGCUCUUCCAAAAAUGCGAAGUGAACUGGGGGUCGCGAUCCGAUACGAUUGACUUCGGCACCCCGUGCAGUCUCACUAUCUCGUCAAGGUACAUCUGCGCCAACUUGUCACCUGCCCACGUGGUGUGGAUCGGCAAAAAGUGAGCCGACUUCGUCAAUCGGUCCAUAAUUAUCCAUAUCGCAUCGUGGCCGCCCAUUGAGCGAGGCAAGCCGACCACGAAGUCCAUUGAUAUGUCUUCCCAUUUUCAAACGGGGAUUGGUAGGCUUUGAAACUUUCCCGCUGGAAACCGACCCUUGGCCUUUACUUGUUGGCAUACUAAGCACUUAGCCACGAAGCGUCCAAUAUCACUUUUCAUUCCCGGCCAUCUAUUUAUUGGGCAUGUACAUAUGUAUGUGUGAUUAUGCAUCUUAGGGUUCAAGUUAUUCUUUUUCAUGUGAAUUGCAUGCUUUCCAAGUUAAUGGUAGACAAUUGCAAUUGAGAACUUUAUGCUUAUGAUACAUGAAUAUGAUUCCAUUUGAACCCUAGAGAUACAAUAACUAAUAGGUUGUACGGACGUAGAAACCAUAGUGAAACAUUAGGUGUCAUUGUGAUGUCGAUCAUGAACCUAGUGGCAAAACUAUGGAUUGGGUAUAACCUAUUGUAGAUGCAGAGAACUAUGACAUUGUGUUGAGAUUAUACAUGUAGUAUGUGCUAGAUGUUCAGCUAUAGUCACAUAUACCGUGAGAUGUUACAUGCUUAGCCAUAAUCAUGUAGCAUAUAGAGGUAUGUUGCCAUAGUUGCACAUGAUUUGAGAUAAGCAUGUUAUGGAUUGGCAGAUCCCUAGAUAGUGUCAUUCUUUUAUCAUAUGUCAUGGUGCAUGAGAGUUGCAUGAUGUAUUUGUGAACUAGUGGUGAGACUAAAGUAUGGACUUAGACAGAACUUGUGUAACACUAGGUGUAUUGAUAGUUGUAGAACUUGAACCUAGUAUAUGAAUUGAGUAAAAUUUCAAGUGUCAAUAAAGGUUUGAGUCAUUGCAUUUAUAGUGUGACAACUAGCACCUUGCCAUUGGAAUUGAAAUAGAUCCCUAAAGGUUGCUAUUCGGAUUAAAAUAGAUCCCCAGAUAUUAUCACAAGGGUCAGUGGUGAGUCCUCGAUAUAAAAGGACUAAAUCAUACUCAUAUAGUCUGUGUUUGGCUUGUGGAGGUCGCGACUCCACAAGCAGUGAGCUCGGAGUGUCACAUAUAUCGGUGAUUGGGUCACUUUAUCGCCUCCCCAGCAGAUAAACGAAGUAGGUGAUUGGGUCGCAUUUUCGCCUCCCCACACGGUUUAGAGAUGUAAGUCGGGCUCGACCGUUGGUGAGCUGGUGCGAUUGGGUCAAGAGGUACUUUGUAGAGAGAGGACAUAAUAGUGUCAUAUGUUUGGUAAUGGGUCGAUUGUGCCUCCUCACGAAUAGCCGAGGUAGAUGAUUGAGUGGUGGAGCUCAUCCCCACAUAGCUGAGAGGGCUAAGUUGGGCUUAGUCUUAUGGCAAGUGCUUGAUCAGGUUAUGAGUAAAUAGAGAGCCAAGUUGAGCAUAUUGGACCUUAAAACUUAUUUCAUGUUGUAAAGGCAUAGUAGUAUUUGUGUUCAUUCAGCUUAUGUAUAGUAUAGUUGUUAUACUAUCUUCCUAUUCUUUUAUCUACUUAUGCCUUGUUGGACCUAGUGAAAAAGUCGGUGAGGUCAACGGCCGAACCCACUGGAAAUUUUUUUUAGUUCUCACCUUCUAUUUUGUAGAGCCAACCGUGAGCAAAGCAGCACCAGACCAGGGCGUGGGUGUUGCGUUCUGGAUAGUGGAGUCACCAAGUGUAAGUUACAUGUGUUCAAAUAAAUGAAAAGAUUGUAAAGAUAUUUGGAACGAAAAUGUAAUUAAAAAUAAAGAUUGUAUUUUGAGAAAAUGACAUGUACCAUGUAUUAUAAAGAUUGUAUUUUGAGAAAAUGACAUGUACCAUGUAUCAUGUAUCUAAGUUGAAAAAUGUAUGUAUAAAUGUAGUUGUUCCAAUAUUGUAAUAAUUAGAUUUAUAUUCUCGCUCUUGUGAUAUACCCUCGUGUAGAACUGUAUUAUGUUAUUUUUUCUAGGUGCAAUUUAAUAUAUUUGGUUUUGUUUACGCGUUGGAUGGAUAGAAAAAACUAUAUUCGUUCGGCGGGUCUGUACACGUGCCUGCAUAGCCUCCAUUGUGAAAUGGGGCAGGACAUGACAAUAGCGACAACGGUGCCGAAGGAGAAGAGAGGAAUGAGAAAAGGAAAGGAGAGAUGAGUAAGGGCAUUCUAAUCAGAUUUCUAAAAACCUAGACUAAAUUUGUAAUAUUAAAAAAAAAAAAGGCCAGAUUUACAAAAGUACAAAACCAAUAGAUUUUUUAUGCAAAUUGGCCAAACUUCUUUGCAAACUAGUGGUCAACAUGAAAUUUGUAUUUCACCAAUUUUCUAAAGCCAUAUGAUAUAGUAAAAAUCCCAUCACAAAUAAUAUAUAUAUGAUGAUAUGAUAAGUUUGAAUACAAAUAAUAUUGCUUUUUAUGACGGAUAGAAGUGUGCAUAAUCAAAUGUUAUUAUUUUCAAAUAAUAAUAUACUGAGUAUAUAGAGAAUAUUUUAUCUCAAAAUAUUUUCACUAAAAUCAUUUUUAUGUUAGUUUAUCUACCCUUUCCUCUAAUUUGAAGCUGGUGUAUAUAUAUGCUUACCCUUUAAUAGAAGAAUUUCAAUGUGUUGUUAACAUGCAGGCAAAUUCAUGCCACAUUAAAUUAUCCAUAUUAGCUAACAAAAAAAAUUUAUAUUAUAUUUAUACUUACAUAAUAAUAUUAUAUAAAAUCAGUAAUUUGUUUAACGUAGCAGUACUCUUCCCAGUUUCCCUUUACUAAUUUUCGCUUUUACUUUGAGAAAGGAGUCAGUGUGCGAUGUGGGGGUUUUGAGAGAGAGAGAGAGAGAGAGAGAGAGAUAGAGAUGUGUCCUUCUCUAGGCUUUACUAAAAGAAUGAUUGGCCAAACACUCGUGUUCGGAGGGGAUGGGCGUACCAAAACCGUACGUACCGCACAUUUAAGAGGGAUGAGAGGGAGUAUUUAUUUGCUUGCAAACUUAAUUGUCACACAUUAAUGAUGCGCAGAAAAAAAAAUAAAAGAAUAUAAACCGUUUUGCAAAAAAAAAAUAAUGUUGAUAAAAAUAAAAAUGUACAAAAUAAUGUACUGAAAUUAUAUAUAGACCAUUUUUUUAAUUUAAUUAUCCAAUCUUUGGGUAUUUAACUUUUAAUUUAUUUGAUUUAAAUUAAUAUUUACUUUAAUAAAAUUUAUAAUUACGAAAAUUAAAUAAAAUAUACUGACUAAAUCUGUAAAAUUAAAUGAUGUAUUUAAGUUUUGAAGUCCAAAAUAUCGUUGACUAACUGAAAUCAAAUAAAUUGAAAAGCUAUGUAGUAAAACAAAAAAUUUUUAAAGGUUGGAUAGUCAAAUCAGAAUGGUCUAUAGUUCAUAUUAGUUUUAUACAUUUUUAUGAAUAAUAUUACGAGCGCCUCAAAAUAUGCAACAAAAUGCUAUAAUAAGCAAGUGGCAAAUCUUUAUGACGUAACACUUGUUAGGGUCAUCUGGUUUAAGAUUUUUGAUAAUUCAAAAAUAUUAUAUUUUAUAUUUGGAAUAAUAAGCCUGUAACUAACUUCUUAAGGCAACUGGAUUGGAAGGUUGUUAAGAACUAAUAUAUUCUUAUUAAUUAACUAUUAACUAUUCAUAUCAAGCAUGAAAAGAAGAGUACCUCCCAAUUCAUAAUAAUUUAGUGUACCAACCAUCUACAAAUCAAUAAUAAUUUCACUAUUUUGCUAACACUUUUUACAAUUACCCAACUUCAACUAAAUAAUACUUAUUUGAAUAUUUUUAAUAAAAAAAUAUGGAGAAUUACCGGAAUAUUAUAAACUGUGAAUGAAACUGGCCUUAAAUUAAUAAUUUAAGAUUUUCUGUUACCAAUUUUAGCAUAUCUCUAUUUAUUGUUAGGUACAAUUUUCGGAUUUAAUUUCUUGACUUUUAGUUAAAAUUGGAUUCAUUCAGAUUCAAGUUAAAUAGUCGGAGAAAACAUUAGCGAAAUCAUUGCAGAUCUGUAGAUGGAUGAUAAGAAAUACUAUGUUAUUGUUAAUUAAAAAAUUUUAUUUUCAUACUUGAUGCGAAUUAUUAAUUUAUUAUUAAUAAAAAUAAUAAUUUUUAAUAAUUGUUUUAAUUUAAGUGUUUAGAUAAAUUAAUGAUAAAUUUAUCAUUCCCAAACCUUGAUGCCAACUGCCCCUUUUAAUAAUAGCCUAGAUUAAGAUUUUUUUUUUUUUUUUCGUUUUCCUUUGCUUACGAAGUUAACCAUCGUUGGAAGCAAAGUGUCUAAAAUCAAUCGAUCAAUCAUGCGUUUCUUUCUCAAAGCUUUUUAUUUCCUUUAACAAAAGUGGGUGUGGCAUGUGGAUGUUGUCCCCAGCCCCAACCCUAGCCCCAACGUGUUACAUGACAUAAUUAUAUACGCCCGCACGCACCCUUACUACAGCUGUGGGAUGAUCCCGUCGCCAUGAAUGGUCUUAAGCACAUAGACACAGUACAGCUGCUGUUUUUUUUUUUUUUUUUUUUUUUAAGAAAUAGAUAACACGCUACUCGUUUCGUUUAUUUCAUUUAGAAAUAAACUUAGCUGGAGAUGUAAAUCAACUAGGAUUCGAACUUGGGUCUCGGAUACCAACCACCAAGCCUUUUGCCACUUGCUCUAGGGACGGUUCGUCAGUACAGCUGCCGUUGUGUUUCACAAUUGCUUCUGACGUGUGGGGCCCGUGUGCGCGUAACACAAUAAUCCAAUGAUAAAUAUUGAUUAAUUAAUAAUAACUACACCAUCAAUUUUUUUAUUCUCUUUUUCAUUUACCAUAUUGUAAUUUCUGUUUAAAAGCGAUGUUGUAGCUUCAUUGUUCUUUAUAUAAGGGUAUAUUUUAGGAUUGAGGAUGGAAAGGGUUAAGGAUAAUACAAAGAUGAUGAGAUGGAAUUGAAAUUAGGACAGAAUAUUGGACAUUUGAUAAUAAUCUAAUUUACUGUUCGGUGCUUUUAAGAUAACACCAAGGAUUAGAUCAUUUAAUAAAAAUUCAAUUUUUGACCUAAAUUUAAUAUUUAAUUUGAAUUGAGAUAUUGAAAUUUAAAUUCAAAUUUUCCUUUUGAAAUUAAAAGUCAAAAUCUGAUAUUAAAAUUUGAACUCAAAAAUAGUUGUAAUUUUGAUCGAGUUGAAAUUUAAAUCUGAAAUUUAAAUUUGGAAUUCGAUUUAAAACCUUACUUUUGAUUAAAUUUGAAUUCUGAAUUUGACUUUGAAAUUGCAAGAGAUUUCGAUUUCAAUUUUUGAAUUCUAAGAUUGAGAAUCGGAAUCAAGAUUCAGUCUAAAUUUGAAUUGAAAAUUUGAAUCCAAAAGAUAAAUUUGAAUUUGAAAUUUAAAUUCAGCAUAUAAAUUUGAAUUUAAAAUUACAUUCAAAUUUAAAUUUUGAAUUUGAAUUCGAAUCCAAAAAUCUAAAUCUGAAUUUGAAUUCAAGAAUCUGAAUUUCAAUUUGAAAUUCGAAUUCAAACGCUGAAUUAGAAUUUGAAAUUCAUUUUAAAAAUCUUAAAUUGACUCUUGAAGUUUGAAUUACAAAUCUGAAUUUAAUUUUAAAUUACAUUUGAAAUAUGAAAUUGAAUUUGAGAUGGGAUACCUCUAGUAUUUGGAAUAGUUAUAUAUAUAACCGACUAUAACAUUUUGGACAGUAGUUAAGUCCAAAAAAUUAAGAGAGUUAUCCGUAUUAGGGUUAUUGUAAUUUUACAACAGGUGACACCCAGGGAAGCGGUACGUCAUAGUUAGUAUCAGAGUUAAUCAUCAGUCAAAAGUAUGAGAUAAAUCUCGGUUGAGUUCAGAUCAUAUAGCGAACAGAGCUGUAUGUAUUAUAUUAGUCUCGGUUGAGAUAGGUUCAUACAACGGGCAAAGUGCAGCCUUCCGACUGACAAUCGUUGUGGGUGAAAUGUAGCUCCCCGCAUGAUCGGCUAAAACAAGUGAGACGAGUCUCGCAUCGCCUAAUAUUUGUGAGUGUACUUAAGUUAUGAGGAUGGGAAGGGCUUAAAAAGAGGAGGAAUGGGACACCCUUAGAAUUUGUAUUUUGUAAUAGUCCUAUAUAUGAGAUAUAAUAGGGUUUAAGGCUCUUAACCCCACUAUAGCACUUUAGAUAGCGGUUAGACCGAAGAAAUUAAGAAAAUUAAACAUAUUGGAGCUAGAAUAAUUCUAGGAUAAAUGACCCCCGGAGAAGCGAGGCGCCUCAUGAGAUUUGAAUUCAAAAUUUGAAUUUUAAUUCAAAAUAAAUUUAUAACCUGAGUUUGAAUUUAAAAUUCAAAUUCUAGAUCUGAAUUUGAAUUCAAAACUUGAAUAUAAAAUUUAAAUUUAAAUUUUUAAUUCAAAAUUUAAAUUUUGAUUAAAAUUUAAAAUUCAAAUUUUUUAAAUUUAAAUUUAUUUAAAUUUGAAGUUCGAAUAAAUGAAAUCGGAAUUUAAAUUUAAAAUUUGAAUCCAAAACUAUGAUUUGAAUUUAAAAUUUAAAUUCAAUAUCUAACUUUGAAUUUAAUACCGAAUUCAAAAUAUUGAAUUUAAAUUUAAAAUUUAAAUUUAAAAUAUGAUUAAGUUUAUAAUUCGAAUUAAAAUCCUGUAAUUAGUAGUAGUAUUUACAUUGAAAAUGUAAGAGUAAAAAGCUUGCGUGUCUAAUCAAAUCUAACCCUAAUCUCAAACCUUUAAUUAGGUGGGAUUAAUUAGUCCUCAAGGGACUAAUUUAGUUUAAUCCAGCAACUAUACCAAAGGUAGGACUAAUGCUGGACCGAAUUUUUCUAAAUCCAAUCCUCUUCUAAUAUCAUGCCUCUCAAGUAGUAGAGAACGACGUAUACUCAAAUUCUGCUAACUAUAAUUUCAAUGAAUCUAAUCUUGAACGAUCGUAUAUAUGCUACGGUGUGCAAUAGAGUACUCAUUCAUUAGACAAAGAAAAUCACCAAAAAUUAUGUGAUUGUUGUCGAGCCUAUUCCAAUUCCAACAUAUUACACUCGAACUACAAAUAUCACAAAAUAUAUUAUAUAAAUAGAAAAGAGACUCGUUCGAUAUCUCAAUAUUGAUUAGAUUUGAAAUCUAACAAUCAAAUUGCUCAUUUAAUAAGUAUUUUCAAUAUUAUGCCAUGACAAGGACUUGACCUCCACACUUUAUAGUAGUAGAUUUUGAGUCUGAUAUGUUGGUUUAAAUGGGCCAGCAUUUUGCCCUAUGACGGGUGGUCGGGUUGGACCGAGUCACGUUCGAAAUGGCGUGAGGUUGGGCAGACCGAGUCAUGUUCGAAGUGGCAUUAGGUCGAGUGGUCCGAGUCACAAUUGAAACUUGUGGGCGUUGUAUCUGUACGCUUUCAGUGAAUUAGUUGCGUAUUUCUAACAGCUCGAAAUUUUAGGAUUAAUGGUUAAUGCCAAUGAUCCGACAAGUGAUAUCAGAGCUAGAGGUCACAAGUUCAAUUCCCGUAUGCUGCAAAUGUGUGUAAGUUCUAGAAAGAGGAUUGUUGGCUUAAAUGGGCCAGUAUCUUACCCUGUGGCGGGAGGCCGGGUUGGGCCGAGUCACGUUCGAAAUGGCGUGAGACUGGAUAAGCCGAGUCAUGUUCGAAGUGGCGUGAGGCCAAGUGGGCUGGGUCACAAUUGAGACCCGUGGGUGCCUGUAUUUGUACGCUUUAAGUGAAUUGGUUGCGUAUUUCUAACAGCGCGAGCUUUUGGGAUUAAUGGUUAGCGCCAACGAUCCGACAUAACAUGUUUACCAUUUCACAAUGUUUUAAAACUAGGUUGAAUAACAAUUCAACAAUAUUAUCAGAUCAAGGAUUACUGAUUCAACUAGUGAAAAGUGGAUGUCGUAAAUAUUUAAUUAUUAUUAAAAUAUACAUAUAUUAUUAUUCUAGUAUCAUAAUUAACUAUAAAAUUAUGAUUUUUAGACCAAAUUAUAUAGAUGUAAGCCUUCAAGUUUUACUUUUAUAAAAUUAGUUUGUGCCUACAGAAAAUAAAAUCAGCUAAGUUGAGUUUAACUCGUUGGAUGGUAAUAUGACGUGAUAAAAAAAAACCUAGUCAAUUUCAUUAAAACAGGACUGGUUCACUAGUUCGAUGGUUGAAUCGCCGGCUCAAAUGGUUCAAAAUAAUUUUUUAACUUAUUCAGGUUAAAGAAUUGAACCGAAUCAUUUCAUAGAAUGAGAUACGGUCAAAUUGGUUGAACCGGUCAUUUCAACCGGAUUUUUAAAUCAUUGCCAUUCUACCCCAUUACAAAAAGCAAAUGAAAUAUUCUCCAAUAGCAAAAAGCCGUAAUCUUCAAUACCAAUGUUUAAAAAUCGGAUCGAGCUAGUCGGUUGGACCGGUAAAAAAUGCUUUCAACCGUUCGAACCGGCAAUCCAACAAUCAAAUUGAUAAAGAAAUCCGAUUUUAAUCAAGCCAGUUAAGUUUUUUUAUCAAGUUAUAUUAAAAUCCAACGGCUUAAAAUCCACUUAGCGAUUUUACUUUUUAUUAGUAUAGAUUAGUCUUAUAGGCACUGUUUGGUUAGGGGAUAGGGAUAGGAAUAGGCCCUUAUCCCUCCCUUUAUACCCAAACGCUAAUUUUUUAUCCGAGAAUAGUAGUUCUCGGUUAUCCCCACCAACACCUCCAUUUUCUAUAUAAAACUUCCUAAUAUUUUUCUUAUCCUCGGGAACAACCUAAUUUUCAUCCAAACGCUAUUUUUCUUAUCCCCAUACUUGUACCUAUACCUGUAAUAGCUAGUUCUUGCUUAUACCCGAACCAAAUGGUACCAUAAGAUGUGAAAUUUGAAAACGUAUAUCUACUUAAUUAAAAAUAAUAAUUAUAUAUAUAUAUAUACUUGCGAUGUGAUACUCACGUUCAAUUCUUAACUAUUCACUGAUUGAACUAGUGACUUUUGAUCUAAUAAUAUUUUCGGAUGAGUUCGUGUGUAAAUUAUUGUUUUUUUUUUUUUGAGAGAUAGGUAGCACGCUAUCCGCUUUGUUUAUUUCAUUUAGAAAUAAACUUAGCUAGAAAUGUGAAUCAACUAGAAUUCAAAUUUGGGUCUCGAAUACCAACCAUCAAAUUUUUUGCCACUUGCUCUAAAGACGGUCGGCAAAUUAUUAUUAAAUACAUAAGCGUAUACUAGUACUAGUACUAGUGCUAGUACUAGUUUUGAAGGUUUUAAAUUCAUGGACAGGUGUCACGCCACAACGGAGCGUUGCGCCGAAGGAAUCUUGCAAACGCCCACAGGGGCCAACAAAACAAAUAAUUUUCCUUACUUUAUAAUAAAGUCAUGGUCUAAAAUAAUGAUGCCCUCCUGAUUAUUAAUUAAAGAUCACACGUUAGUAAGAGAAUAGGAAAGGAGAGCGCUUAAUUAAUUAUAUGCCAACUCCGUCGAUCCGUUCCGUGAGUGGAGCCCCUUCCCCCUCUUAUUAUCUGUCUAAUCUUUCGAUGAUCUUUAUGCCCCAGCCCGCCGCGAAAGCAGGGGCCGCUGUGGUGGUGGUGGUGGUGGGGAUCCGCGCCCACUUUACAUGGCACGUGCGAGCUUGUGGGCCCGCCCUAGGCACGUGUAUGCACGGAGCCAGAUGAAGGUUAUCGGGAUCUGGGCAGGAACCAUGUGCUGCGUGGGGCCCACAUGAAAACCCUCCCCACCCAUCUCUCUCCCCCGCCCCCCUCUCUCUCUCUCUCUCUCUCUCUCUCUCUCUCUCUCUCUCUCUUCCUUUACCAGUUACCUCCCUUCUUCUGGGUGAGUGUACCUCUGCAGCUCCACUUCGGCGUUCUGGUUGUAUGUUGUUUGGUUAUAUAUGGCGUUUUUGGUUGGAUGUUGUUGGUUAUAUAUGUUUAACUAGUUUAUUAAAAUUAACAUAUAUAACUAGUUUUUAUAUCCUCCGUGCUUCGUGGCGGAUCCAUAAUAUUUCAGUAAAACAACAUAUAUAAUUAUUAAAAUUUAAAAUUUAGAAAAUUUAAUAAAAAAUAAAAAAAAUUAUAUAGCCUUCUAUACUGCUAAUCUUUUUUUGAUUAAUAUUUUUUAGCUUUCAGUAUUUGUAGAGUUAGAGUAUUCUAGUAACUUCACUUAAAAAUUCAAUCAAACUUAGUAUUUUUAGUAGCUAUUCUGUAAAUAAAUUUUUAAUUAAAAAGUUAAAAUUGGAGGACUUAUUCUGAAUUAUAAAUAUAUGAUAUUAUUCUUAUCAAGUUAACAUUGAUUGGAGAAAGAAGAAAAUUAUUAUAUACACCUGGUGUAUAUCAACACACCAUACACCACAACUUAUAUUAAAUGACUAAUUUCUAAUAUCGAAACUUAAUUAAAUAUAUCUAAAUUACAAAGUCUAACAAUUUAAAUAUAUUUACUUAAUUAAAUUUUAAAAUAUCUAUUCGAUGUUUUAAAUAUGUGGUGUAUGUUUUUAUAUACAUCUUGUAUAAAGAAUGCUUAAUAGAGUGCAUUCAUAAUUCCAAGAAAAUUAAAGAGGAAAAAUCUUUACUUGCACCUAAUGUAUACUAAUAUUUCAUACACCAUAAAAGCAUAUUAGAUAAUUGAUAGAAUAUCUGAUAAUCUGAUAAUUAGUAUUAAAGAUUUUUGUGAUGUGAUGGAACGGCCAAAUUAUAUAUCUUACAGAUUUUGAAAUAUUAACAAUAAAAAAGGUUUGGUGUAUAUGAUAUUUUAAUAGAUCGGGUGCAUGCAAUAUUGUUGAAGUAGAGAAGGGAGAGAAAAGAGAACACAUGUUGCUCUGAGGGCUUAUGAUAUGACCCAACUGUCAAAUUAAUAUAUCUACUAUAGAUAGAUAAUUAUUAAAAUUUUAAGAUAAAAAAUUAUAACUAAAUAAAAAAAAUUAUAAAAUAGUGUUAUGUACAUUAAAAAAUAACUUUUAUAUUAAUAUUUUCUUAAUUUUGAAGAGUUAUAUUAUUUUAACAAUAUUAUUUAUAAAUUAAUCAAAUUUAAUAGUUUUGAAAACUGUUAUAUAAAUAACUUUUUUUAACUAAAAAUGUAAAAUUGAGGAACUUAUUUCAAAUUGCCGAAAAUGCGAAGAUGUCUUUACCUUAUUCAAAUUGAUUGAAAAUUUUUUUUCUUAUAUGCGCAUGAUAUAUAGUAACAUUUUAUACACCUCAACUUAUAUUAGAUUAUAAAUAUUUUGAUAUCAAAACUUAAUUAAACAUAUAUAAUCUACAAAGUUAAUAAUUUAAAUUCUAUUUAAAUUCUAUUUAAUGAAUUAGAUUUUAAAUAAAAAAUAACGAAAAAAAGAGUCGAAGAAUCAAAAAAAUACAAAUAAAGAAAUUUAAAAUGAAACAAUAGCUACUACAGUAAAAAUUUAAGAAGUAUAAAAAAAAAACUAUAAGAAGAAUUAUAUUUAUAGCAGUAGUAAGAGUUGAGAAUUAAAAUAUCAUAUGUCUCAUAAUUUGAGUAAGAAAUUACAACUAAUUAACAUUUAAGAUCUUAAAUAUUGUGUUCCUUUUUGAAUAUUUCAAAAGAUUCUGAAUGUAAAGUUGAUUGCCUAUAAAAGUAUAAGCAUAGUAUUGAAGUUUAAUAUUAAAACCAAAUGUAUCAUUUUGAAUCAAUUAUUUUAAUUUUCAAUUUUUUUUUUAUUAUUAAAUUUUUUAAUUUAUUUGAUUUGAGUCGAUCAACAAUAUUUUGACUUUAAAUUUUGAACGCGUCAUUUAUUUUUAUACAUUCAGUUAAUAUAUUUUAUGCAAUUAUUGUAAUUUUAAAUUUAUUAAAGUAAGUAAUUAAAUUAAACUCUAUCAAUAUCUAUUUUAAUUUUAUUGUACAAGUUAUUUUUAAGUGAUAAAUAUUGUAAAAUUAAAAUUUAUACUCAACAUAUGUAAUUUUAGUUAUAUAAAAAGUUGUGUAAAAACUUGUAGAUUAUAUAAUUUAAAUUUUAGGAGAGAAUGAGAGGAAUGAGUUGAAAAAAAAAGGCCCACUACCCCGAGAGAGAGAGAGAGAGAGAGAGAGAGAGAGAGAGAGGAGAAUUAGUGGGAAAAAAAAUCCUGCCCGAGCCACCCAAUCGCGCCCGCUCGCUUGCGCUAGAGCGUGACCUCGGUCGGCGUCCGCUCGUGCCCCUCGCGUGCGCCUGUGCCCCUUACAUGCGCCCGCCGACACCGCGCGAGACCUGCGCCCCUCACACGCGCCCACGCCUGCCCGCGCCCGACCCGCCCGUGCUGCCAUGAUAAGAACUCAACUUUUAUUAUAUCUAUAGAUCCUGGCUUAAUGAAAUGACCAAUUUGAAUAAAAAAUCUAUUAAUUUUAAAAUUUUGUAAAUAUAGAUUGUUUUUUAGAUUUACAAAUUUGAACUGAGUUAUAGAAAAUUGACCAAAAUACUCUCAUUCUGUUUUCUUUCUUUUUUUUUUUCUUCUCUUGUUCUUCUUUUUUUCUCUUCGACCCUCCUCCAUCACUACCGCGGCCCUCAGUGACAGUAACGAGGGCAUCACCGCGUCCUAUUCCUCUGCUUUAGCUGGCACCGAUGCCGGCACCAGAGGUAGAGGAUUCGGAGUGAGUGCGAGUGAGAGUAGAGCUGAUGGAGGUGAUGAGGUAGUGGCUGCAACGGUGCUUGUUGUCGCCUGUGAGGGUGAGAACGAAGAUGCACCCCGCACUUCUUCGAGGAGAGCUUUCAGUGAGGGUGGUGCUGCAGUGGAGGGUGAAGGAGAGAUCGCGAUAGCGAAAAAAAAUGUAGACGACAGAAAAAAAAUAAGAAAAAUAAUGAAUAAGAAAUAGUAAAGAAAAAUAUUUUUUUUUACAAAAGAGGCGAAGAAACAGAGAAAAAAGAAGAAGAUGAUGAAGUUGCACUGUUAAGAUGAAGUUGCACUGACAGAAGAAUUCUGCACUGUUUUAGAUGAAAGUUAUACUAUUUGAGAAAAAAAUUAUAUUCUUUUAGAUGAAAGUUAUAUUUUUUGAACGAAAGUUGUACUAUUUAGGCAAAAGUUACACCAUUUCUCCUCCUCCUUCCCCUGCACUUCCUCCUGCUUUUUCUGCACCCAUCUUCUUUUCGCCCUUCAUUUCCACCGUAGCAGAUCCGCCACCCACCAAACCCACUUAUGGAACUCGCUAUCCUACCGCCACUGUUGACGACACAGAGGAAACGCUUCUUGGCACUAAAAAUCUCGCUGGCGUGGGAGAGGGACGUAACCCACGACAUCCACUCAGGGACAACGACGUAUGCGGUGGAGACGGAGAAAAGCGCAAUGAUGCCAAAGAAGAGGGUGGGCGAGGAGAGCAAAGUUUAGGGGUUCAGCAUCGCCGCGCUUUCCUCCGUCUUCACCAUGUGCUUCGCCAUCCCCGGGUGGGUGCCGUGGGCCACAUACCCUCAUCCUUGCCGGCGAGCUUCUCGGCGCCGAGAAGUGCUUCAUCUUCAUCGCCGACGAUGGCAUUAGAGACGGUGGGUUUCCAUAAGUGGAUUUGGUGGGUGGCAGAUCUACUGUGAUGGAGGUGGAGAGCGUAGAGGAGAUGGGCGCAGUAGAAGCACAAGCAAGCGGAAGGAAAGGAGGAUAAGAAAGAGAAAAAAUAGUAUAACUUUCGCCCAAAAAGUGCAACUUUCAACCAAAAAGUGUAAUUUUUGUCUCAAAGAAUGUAACCUUCGUCUAAAACAGUACAAUAUUUUUCUCAAAUAGUGCAAUUUUAUCUAAACAGUGCAACUUCAUCAUUAUCUUCUUUUUUCUCUAGUUCUUCGUAAUUUUUGUAGAACUUUUUUUUUAACUUUUCUUUAUUUUUUUAUUUUUUAUUUUUUCUACUAUUUGCAUAUUUUUUCUAUCGCGAUCUCUCCCCCGCCCUCUAUUGCAACCACCGCCCUUGACGGAAGCACUCCUCGGAGAAGAGUGGGUGCGUUUUCGUCCUCACCCUCACAGGUGACAGCGAACACUACCUUGGCCAUGACCUUAUCGCCUCCAUCGCUUCACUCUCACCUUUGCUCGCUCCGAGUCCUCCUCCUUUGGCACUGGCGUAGGUGCCUGCAUCAACAAACGCGAAGGAAGAGGAUGCGGCGCUGCCAUUGUUACCGUUGCGAAGGGCCGCGGAGGCAGUGGAGGUGGAGGAAGAUGGGAGAGCGAAAAAAAAACAAGGGAAAAAAAGGAGAGAGAAAAGGGAAAAAGAGUUUUUUUUGUCCAUUUUUUUAAAAUCCGAUUGGACUAUGCAAAAUUCAAAAAUACAGCCUAUUUUUGAAAAAUCUCAAAAUUAGUAAUUUUUUAUGCAAAUUGGCCUAAUUAAAUCCCACCAUAUUAUUUUUUAGUGUUAUUUUUAUUUAUUAUACUAUAAAUAGUUAAAAAGAUGCUAUUAAACUAUUAAUCAAUUUCUAUAUAUAUACUAUGGUAUAGAUUUAUUUUUAAUUACUAUCUUGUAUAUAUAUAUAUAUAUAUAUAUAUAUAUAUAUAUAUAUAUAUAUAUAUAUAUUUCUAAAAGACAAUACUAAAUAAUUGUUUUCUUAUUGGUCUCUAUAUUAUAACCAACAAAUUUAUUAUUUUAGAUAAAAAUUAAUUGUUGGCGCCAUAAAAGUGACGCCACGUGGCAAACCGACUUACACCACAUUGAAGGCUUUUGGAGCCAAACGCAGAACAACACGUGGUGUGGCAAGAACUGGGGAGCACACGCCCAAAACCGAAAAUUGGUCGGGCAAGAUGCGGUUGAGAUCAGCCAAGAGUAGCCCAUAGAUUUAGUGACAUGGCUGGGACACACCCCAUAAUGGAGAAUAACUGAAUAACGGUGGGCGAGACUAUAAAUAAAUAGAAUACGCCUGCAAAAAGGGUCAUUUUCCCCUACAAACAAGAGACCAUUCUAUUUUCAGCAUUUUUCUGCUUUUCAAAAGUAGUUUACUUGUAAUCUUCACUUUCCUUGCACUUUCUACUUUUAUAGGAGUAGUUUGUUAAGAUAGAUUUUCUCGUUUAGGUAGUAGAUUUUACAGUAUUCCUAAGCGGGACUUGUCACAUGUACAUUUUCUUUUUAUUGAAAUAUAUCAAUGUCACUCGACUCAUCUCAGCCAAGUCAGUAAUAUAAUAGAGUGUACGAACUCGGCUGAGUGGAUCCCUCAUCAGUCGAUCGCUUGAUUUUGUCUGUGGCAUAUUUUGAGGGUCACCAACAAGAGUCAUCUCAUCACUUGACUCGCUUCCCGGAGCAGAGUUAGGCCAAGGCAAUGGUCUUGGAAUUUGGCUCUCAACAAUUUUUCCCACUCUCAGUGGGACACAUAUAAGUAAUUCCUUAAUUUUUUCUUUAUCUUAUGACUGACGAUAACACUAUGAACCUUCGGAAUAGAGUCAUUUCCAGGCCUUCAGGGAAUAACAAAGUUAAUAGCAUUGAAAAUGCGAACGAGUAUCAGAUAAUGCUACCAGUGGAAGGUGAGACUAGCGGACAUUCAGCUUAUCAGGAGCCGAAUCUAACUCAAGCACUCGGCUAGAUAACCCGAGUCUUGCAAAUUCUAAAUCAAAAUAGUCAUCAAAGCACUGCGUGACUAGACACAGUGUUGGUCGCAAUCAUGGCCUUCAAUAAAUAUAUUGCCCGAAUAGGGUAGCUGUUAGUGCGCAAUGAGCAACCUUAUGGAGGUCUACAAGGACCGCCAACAAUGCCAAUGCCACAAGAUCCUGUUACACCGGCAGUCGCACAAGCGCAACCCCAAACCACACCGUUCCAAGUUGCGUAUAGACCGGGGAACUGUCACGCCACAAGGCCUAAAGCAGUGCCUUCUUUUUUUUUACAAAUCAGAGUUACGAAAAUAUAUAUAUAUAUAUUUUAAAAAAUAGCCUGACCCACGUGACGUACAGACCUGUAACAAAUACAAAGUUCUUCUGCCCACACGGACAGAGUCUUCUUUAUAUUUGCACGGCGUACCCUACGAUAACAAUAAUAGGAUCACAACUCACAACCUACCUUCACCAAUCCACAAGCAAUUGAUGCGAUGCAAUUCCAUACAGCUAGCCAUCCUUAAAGAUGAUGUAUCCCUCUAAACACUUCUUAGGCGUUGGAUGAUGCUGUAACAUACCACAUCCCUCGUAAAUCAUGCCGAGUUCCGUCAAAACGAGCGGAACGCGGAAUUGAACGAGUUAGAAUGGACCCUGAGCACAUUAGGGCUCAUAGGAGAAGCAAAAAGGGAUCCGAGAGAGAGAAUCAGAAAAUCUGGUUAAGUCCCAGAUUUUGUGCUCUCGGGGACCGGUCCCUGAAGGAGAGACCGGUCCCCGUACGCGUAGCCUGCCAAGAAGUCUUGAGGCAACCGGUCCCUGGUGGUGAGACCGGUCCUCGGGAGACCAGUCCCUGAAGGGGCAGACCGGUCCCUCGCUGCGCAACAGCCAAAAUACCCGAAAAUUUGGCUAAGUCCUUGAACACCCACGUUUGCGAACCGGUCCCUGGUCGGGGAGACCGGUCCCCGAAGGCGAAAAAUGCCCAGUCUGGGCAGAUCAAGGGGAAACAAGUUGAGGGGUUUAAAUGCAAUUGUCACAACACUAUAUGUGGACACCCCUCUCUCUCCCACACCCAUUUUCACCCUUCUCUCCCAUUUCCUCUCUUCCUCUCUCUAGAACUCUUGCUCUAGGGCUUGGAGAAGAAGAAGAAGGAGCAAGGGAAGGUGGAUUUGGAGGCUUUGGUGGGUUCUACAAGCUCUCCUACAAGAAGGACUUGGAGGGCUUGGGCUAAGGUGAGUUUUUGGUAGAAAUGAGUCUAGGGCUUGGUUUUAAUCCCUAUGUUUUGGAGCUUUGGAUUGUUUUUGGCCAUGGGAGCCUUCUAUAUGCCUUGAACUCCAUGGAACCCAUGAGAGCUCAAGUACUCUCAUGGUGGUUGGGUAGGGUUUGUCAUGGAAGCCCUAGGGUUGGUUCCAAGGGUCUAGAAACCUUACUAGGAUGCUUCUUAGAUGAUCCUAAGCUAUUGUUUGCUUAAGGUUGGGAUCGAUUCAUGGGAAAACCCUAAAUGACAAUAUUAGGGCUUGAAUUUGGGGCUUUUGCUCUAGGAUUGUUCGGGGACAAAUUGACCUCGUGGAAACCUAAUUGGGGGUGCCCUAAACACGUUGGGCAACUUCGUUUAACAUUACAAAAAUGAUAGAGUAUAGUCCAUGUACAAAAGGCCUAAUAUGGCACCGUUUUGAUUAUAGGGUGCGGAAGCGGCUUUUGUAAAACCCGGGAGUUGUCAUAUACUUCACCCACACGAUUACUAGAGAUGGGGGGUGCACGCCGGAAUCGUUGGAUUCCCUUCUAUGUCUGUUUUCUGUACUCUUGAGCAUAUAUGUAUAGAUAUACCCAUUCAUGCAUAGUAGGGUAGAUACAUGUGGAACUUGGUUUGACUUCAUUUAUAUGUUCCUAACGUAGUUGAACAUAGUGGACGAUAGAACCAAGAGGACAUGUGUGAUUGGACCCUCAAGUUGUGUGAAUGUGAGGUUGGACUUGGACAAUAGAAAACAAGGGUGACAUUGACAUAGAAACAAGAUUGGCAUUGAGAAAUAAACCGUUAAAUCUAGUUUAACCAAAUUAUGGCAUCAUCACGGAUAUGGCCUUGAGAGUGGCAAGAAUGAAUAGGUAGAGACCUACCAUGACAUCGACAUUGUGACCAGUGGCUAUGAAUCCUCAAGUUGGGGAUUAGAUCGAUGCUCACAUUACGUCUUGGCUUGAGGGAGGUCGCUCCCUCUCGAGCGGUGCGCUCCGAAGUUGGUCACCACUGGGCGAGGUAAAGUCCCACCAGUUGACGGUCCCUAGGGAGGUUCGAGUCCCCCGUUAUUAAGGAAUUUUGGGUUGUGAGUUAUUGGGGUUAACAGAGUUAACCGGUAAGAUUGGGUAAGAGCCAAAGCUUGAUUAUGGUUGGAGCAUGCAUGCAUUUCUAUUAUCGCAUUGAAAUUAUAUAUCUACUAACUUCUUUCUUGCAGGCAUAGUAUUAGUUGCAUUAGUAGUGGUUACUUUUCCUCCUUUGAAAUACUUAUGCCUGGAUGGACCUAGUGGGUAAGUCGGCGAGGUCAGAUGCCGAGCCCACUGGGAACUUCGUUGUAGUUCUCACACCACUAACCCUACAGGUCCUAGCACGAGCGGGGCGGCGGAGGACCGAGGCAAGGGUUUAGCGCCGUAGGUAGCGGCCACCGGAGUAGCAUUAUAUUUUGUAGUUAUUUCCCUUUUGGUGUACAUGUAGCAGCUUUAUUUUGUUGAAUUAGAGAUGUAAAGUUGUAAACAAUCAUGUAUUUGGUGGAUGACUAAAUGUAAAAGAUAUGAUGGUUGAAUGGAAUGUAAUAGUUUCGUUUACUUGAAUUUGGUUUAAAUGAAAUCAAAUAUCAUGUGUGAUGUAUAUUUGGCUUAGAGCUUUCGUUUUCGUUGUGGCUUGCCCUCGCGCAAGCCUUGUAUUAUAUAUGCAAUUCUCUUGUUGAUUGCCUAUUUAUACAUGUUGUUAGAGCCUUGGGCGAACAGGAGAGGCUCUGUCCGUUCGGCGUCUAUUGACGUGACCCGAACCCGACCAAAUUGGCGGGGAUUGGGGCGUGACAGAUGCGAUGCACAUUACAACAAUCAUCCUAUUCAAAAGUACUCCCCACCUGGAAGCUUUAUUUUUAAACUCUAUUUGUUCAUCCAUAAAAAUCAUUCGAAAUUCUUUUAAAACUGUUUCCCACACGAAAACUUAAUCUUCGAAAACCGACUACCUUGAGAGGUAGGAAACCACAACGCAUGAAUACAUAAAUCCAAAUACCAAAGAUUCGUAAAACUUCGAUUACAUGCAUAAUAGAAAACACCAACUCAUACAAGUUCACGAUUAUUCAAGCAAUAACAGUGAUCAUCUAACAGAACCAUUUCAUUAUUUGAACUAUUAAAUACGAAAAGAAAAAUAAUUAGGGUGACAACUGCUAAUGCAGUCUAGCUAGGACGUCCUCCCGACGCGCCAAGAAUCAAUUCCUCACUCGUGUCACCUGGGGAAAUAAGGGGGUGAGAAACCACAACAAGGUUAAUUUUCCACUGGGUACUAUAGAGCGACAAAGGCAAAUCGUAUUCAUUGAAAAACAAAGGAGAUAGAACAACAGGUAUACAUGAAUAUGACAUGAUACAUAAGCGAACAACAGUAGUAAUAUAAACAGGAUAGUAAAUGAGCAACAACCAAACUACUACUGUAACAGAAACUCAACUGAACAGAUGCCUCAAGGAUAAAUAAUCCAAAUAAAACUCAAUCUGGUGCCUGCCAUAUUGGUCCGCAGACCUCGAGCGUUGUCUGUCACAAUGCAUACACUAACCUGAUUCACGUGUCCACUGACGACCUAUCCGGAUAAGUAUACCCUGGUCGGUGGCCAAAUCGACCUGGUGUCUAGGAAUAUACACAGUGCUGUGAGUAAAUCAUUCUGAUAUGCUCAAUGCGAAAGCCGACAAAAAAUCGGUGCCUUGGCCGAAGCCAGAUAUAAGGGCGUACGACGCCGAACCAUGAUCAACCAGAUCGAGACACACGACAAAAGAGUCGAUGUAUUGCCUAGACCCGAGGUCCACAUAUAUACUGUAAGGAAGUGAAUUCUCGAAAUCUGAGAGUUGGACUUCGUCCAGGAUUGAUUACUUAUCGAGUGGGUACCCUUCGAAAAAGCCGAAGAUGUCUAAAACCCAAAAAGUGCAUUGGAGUUGAGUCUACGAGAGCAAAUAGUGCAAAAUCUGCACUUGGCAGAUUCUGCUCUCGGGGACCGGUCCCUGGCGGUGGGGACCGAUUCCCGUAAGCAGGAAUUCUGGCAGAGAAGGGUCUGCGCAAAUCUGCUCUCGGGGACCGGUCCCUGGAAGGGAAGGACCGGUCCCCGUAGCUGGUGGUUGCGGAGGACCCGUGAUGCAACCGGUUCUCGGCCAGAAGGGCUGGUUCCCGUACACGUAAUCUGGCUGAAGGCUCUCGGGGACUGGUUCUCCCGUUGAGGGAUCGGUCCCUCCGCGCAAAAUCUACCAAGGCAUAGCAACUUGAUAGAGGUAAAGUUGAGGGGCUUGGCUGCAAUUAUGCCCUAGUUAGAGAGUAUAGAGAGCAAAGGGCUCUCUCUCUCUCUCAUUUCCACCCUCACACUCUUUCUCUCCCUCUCUCUCUCUAGAAAGAAAAGAAGAAGGAGAAGGAAGGAGAAGAAGAAGAGGAAGAAGGAGAAGGAAAGAAAGGUGGAGAAGAAGAAGGAGAUCAAGGAAAAGGCCUUGGACACCUUCACCUCCCUCUCCUCUCCCCUUUGGUGUAGCUUAAGAGGUAAGCUACUAACCCUAGCAUGGUAAAACUUAGGGUUUUGGGUUUUUGGCUUUUGAGAUGAGGUCAAAUGGACCUCUAACACCCUUAAUGAUGGAUUAGAGCUAGAAUCUAGGGUUCUAUGGUGCUAGUUGCAUGGUGUAACCCUAGGGCUCCAAAUUGGUGGUCUUUAAUAAAUGAUGAGAUUGAUCUCAUUUGAUAGCUUGUAAACCUAAUUGAUAGGUGUCUAAACGCGAGGGCGAAGUCGGAUUUUCGAUUCGUUUAGCGGGUGAAAAGCUAUCGGUGAAAUAUAGCCGAUUGAGCACCGUUUUGGACCAAGGAGGCCGAGACAUCGUCGUAACAUUCGUUAGGGAGCGUUUCUAGAACCUUCGUACCCUCAAAAGGUGGGGGGUGUUGUCCCGAAGCAACCGAGCUCUUUUCUAUGUCUUAGAAAUACAUGAAUUUCAUCUCUUGCAUGUUGCAUUGUAGGAUUGCAUUGUAGUACCUUAUCCUUAUGCUUCUAAAUGUUAACCUAGUGUGCAUGGAAUACUUGGUAAAAUGGAUAGGUAAGGAUUGGGUCGGAACAUGGAUCCUAUAGUGCCAAAAGAAAGAGAUGAACUCGAUGGUUAUUCAGUGACAUAGAGAGUGGCAUUAAUAUAGUGUACUUGACACUAGAGGUUUAUGAACUUAGGGAUAGGUGGAUUCCCUAGUAAAUGACUCGUGAACAAUGAACUUAGUAUAGCUAAGUAAUUAUGCAUGAAUGUCGGAAUAGAUGAGUUCCGAGAGAAUGUUGGCCCUAGUUUGUAGGAUAUCCUCACGUGGAGAGGAUAGAUCAAGCUCACGGUCUGUUAUUUGGGGUGUUAGAGCCAUCCAUAUCCUCACAUGGAGAGGAUUUGUCGUCGAAUACUUCGGAGUGUCGGGCGAUUAGGACAGAGUUGAUGUCCACAGACAGUCCCGGGUUCGGGGGCACAUGGAGUCUCCUUACCCUAUGGGAUGGAUAUGUGAGGGUAGGCAAAUCCAAGGGUUUCGCCACAGAUUGGGUAAAUGAAAAGUUAAUAUUGUCAUCGAACAUUGCUUAUCGAACAUGGAUCGAACUUGUUAGCAUAAUAGUAAACUUUUACUAAAUGAUGCAUGCAUUCAUUUCACAUGAUUAUGGGCAUAGUAGCAUAGUUUUCCUAUUAUGUCUUUACAGCUUUGAUAUACAUAUAUCUAUCUGUUUCGUUGUUACUUUUGCCCACUUGGACCUAGUGGGGAGAUCGGCGGAGUCGGCGGCCGAGCCCACUGGGAACUAUGGAAGAUAGUUCUCACCCCACUUUAUUUCCAGGGCUAGGUACAGGUUUGUCGGGCGAGGGCCACGGCAAGGGCAUCGCGCUCGACCAAUAAGGAUUAUUGGUAGAGUAGUAGUUUUCCUUUCGCAUUAGCACACCUAUGUAUUUGAGAGAGAUUCAUGUAGGUGAGGACUUUGGAGGGCUAUGUACUUGAUGAGCAUGUAUUCAUUUUGGGAAAGAAAAUGUAAUCGUAUAAGGAAUGCAAAUGUGAUGUAAUAGUUAGUAGUUCUCUCUUUAUUUCACUUGUGUAUCUUGUGGAUUACUUUCUCUUCGUUGUUGGCACUAUUUGUGCCCCGUUGAUCGUGUAUGUACGAAUUUAAUUUUUUGGAUAAAUUCUUGUACAUAAUCAGGUUGUGAGCCUUGGGCGGGCAGGGGAGUUGCUGCUCGUUCGGCGUUCGUUCGCCGCGCCCGAACCAUGCCAAAUUGGUAGGGGUUUCAGGAUGGGGCGUGACAGUAUGUGGUAUCAGAGUGAUAACAGCAAGUAAAGAGAGAAAGUCUAAGAUGACCUAGAAGACCCUAGGUUGGUAAACCCUAAGGCUAUAGGUGCGUGAGUGGAACGUGAACCUAUACCGGUGGCAGAAGUGAUUCAAUUGGGUCGAAAUUAAAGUUGUGUCUCUAGUAGCGACUAGAGGUAGAUUCAAGUUGUGUGAGUUCUUGUCGUAAGGUGGUUGUGUUGGCGGCCGACGACAUGAUACCGAGAGUCUAGAAUGAGUACGCUUGUGUGCUUCCUCCCGAUUUUUUUGUUGUUGGGUCGUUAUGUGCCGUAGUCGCGACAAAGUAAUCGAGUUAAGAUAAUUAACCAAGUAAUUGCGUUUCAGGAGCAAAUGGCACCAAGGGGACGCCCAAGUAUGAGAUCUACUCCGGCACCGCCUCCUGAGGUGCCCGAGCAUGCUGAACCGAGUGUGAUGGAUCGGUUGCAGGCGCAAGUGACCGCAUUGACCAAUGUGGUGCAGCGCCAGGAGAGCCAUUUUGAACGACUCCAGGAGCUCUUAGAGCGGCAAGCUGCGGUGGCGGCUGCAACGGCGACGGGCGAGCGUGAUGUACCCGCACCUCAACUCGUGUACCAAAAGCGGUGGAGGGUGAGGGUAUAGCGGCGGUUCCGGUGACGUCACGUCCACCGCCGGCAAUUGUUCCUCAGGCGGCGUCGGGAUCGGCGACACCCGAUGUGACGGCCGAAGACGUGGAAGGAGAGCGCGCGUUGGCUGCUCUUAUCAAGUUCAAGAAGUUCAACCCGCCCAUCUUCGAAGGGGAGAAGGUGGAGCCAGCUAUGGUCGAGUCUUGGAUCGACUUGAUGGAGACUCUCUUCGAAGAUUUGCAUACCUUGGAGAGAGAUAGGGUGUAUCUCGCCACCCAUUGCUUGGAGAAAGCGGCGAAGGUCUGGUGGAAGCGCGUCAAACGGGAUCGACUUUCCGACCUUCCGCCGAUGCUGUAGGAGGAGUUCAAGAGGGCGAUGUUCGCCAAUUAUUUCCCCGACACAUUGAAGCGGAAGCUCCAGGAGAAGUUCCGCAAGUUGGAGCAAGGGGACCGCUCAGUAGCGGAGUAUAAGCAAGAGUUCUCCUACAUCAUUAACUGUGUCCUGGAUGUGGUACGAGAUGAUCGGGACCGGGCUGACUGGUUCUUACGAGGACUUCGGCCGGGGAUCUAUAAGGCCGUGCAUAUACUUAAACUCACGACCUUCGCGGAGGUCUUCGACCGAGCACUCUGAGCGGAGCAUGGUGACGCCCAUGUUCGGGAGAAGCGUGAGAUGUUGGCCGAGUCCAAGGACAAAGGCAAGAAGCGUCAAGGCGGCGGUUCGGGAGGACAAGCACGUUCCAAGAAGCCCCCGAAGUAUCCGCGGACUCAGCCAAAGGGCAGUGGAGCACGACGAUGCGUCAUAUGUGGUGGAGACCACCCGGUGUCGCAUUUUGACCAGCGCCAAGGCAAGUGCUACAAGUGCGGGCAACCGGGGCACUUCAUACGAGAUUGCCCGGGAGGAGGAGCCUCACAUGCCCCGUCCACUGCAUUGGCGCCGGCAAUUCCGGCCCACUAUAGAGAAGUUCCACCGACGGCCGUGUCGGCGGGACGUGCGAUGAUGCCGCGCCAGCCCGAGAUGGCGCGAUCGGCCCCGAGCGGACGGGUGUUUGCCGCUCAAGUGCAAGCCGAGGAGCCUGCGAAGGCGGAGGAGCAUCGCCUUGUGGCAGGUAUGAUUUUAAUUAAUGGAGUUCGCUUCAGGGCUAUGUUUGAUACAGGAGCUAUGCAUUCAUUUAUCAGUAGAUCAUUCGCACGCAUGUAUGACAUACUCAUAGAGGCGAGUGACAAGUGGCGAGUUGAGGGCCCUGGGUCGACAUUUAAUACCUACACGGAAUGCUCAUCGUGUCCAGUACAAGUAGGUGACUGGAUAAUGCCCAUUAGGAUGGUAGAGCUCAAGAAUCAGUUCGAUGUCAUAUUGGGCAUAGACUGGCUCUCGAAGUAUCACGCAACGAUCGACUGCAAGAGCAGAGUGAUUACAUUUCGUGAGCUAGGACAGAAGGAGUUCAUUUAUCGGGCUUGUCAGAGCUCGUGCUUCCCCGCGACGGUAUCGGCGACGACAGUAAGAAAGUUGGUCAACAGCGGUUGCGUAGCGUUCUUGGCAACUGUUGUAGAAGUGGAUCGAGUGACUCCCACUUUGGAGGAGUUAUCGGUAGUGUGGGAGUUUCCGGAUGUGUUUCCCACGGAGUUACCGGGGAUACCGCCGGAUCGGGAGAUCGAGUUCGUCAUAGACUUGAUUCCCGACACUGCACCGAUUUCGAAGGCUCCGUACCGAAUGGCGCCGGCGGAACUGAAAGAGUUGAGGAGUCAGUUACAGGACCUCCUCUACAAGCAAUUUAUUCGGCCGAGUGUAUCACCGUGGGGAGCCCCGGUGUUGUUUGUGCGAAAGAAAGACGGAUCGUUUCAACUCCGUGUGGAUUAUCGAGCGUUGAACAAAGUCACGAUCAAGAAUAAGUACCCACUUCCCCGAAUCGAUGAUUUGUUCGACCAGUUGCAGGGGUCGUGUGUGUACUCAAAGAUAGAUUUACAGUCUCGCUACCACCAACUGAAGAUCAAGCCGAAAGAUGUGCAGAAAACUGUGUUUCGCACGCGGUAUUGGCACUAUGAAUUCACGGUCAUGCCAUUUGGACUCACGAAUGCUCCAGCGGCGUUCAUGGAUUUGAUGAACCGUGUCUUCAGGAAGUAUUUGGACCGAUUUGUCGUGGUCUUCAUAGACGACAUAUUGGUCUAUUCUCGAAGUGAUAAGGAACAUGCUGAGAAUUUAAGAUUAGUGCUUCAAGUCCUUCGGGAGGAGAAGCUAUAUGCUAAGUUAAAGAAGUGUGACUUUUGGCUCCGAGAAGUCGCAUUUCUAGGGCAUGUAAUUUUCGAGGGUGGAGUUUCUAUAGACCCGAGGAAAGUUGAGGCGGUCAAGGAUUGGCCGCGCCCGACUAAUGUCACGGAGGUUCGAAGCUUCGUGGGCUUGGCGGGCUACUAUAGACGGUUCGUUGAGGGCUUCUCUAAGAUAGUAAUUCCACUUACCCAUCUGACUCAAAAAGGCACCAAAUUCGUUUGGAGCGAGGAGUGCGACCGGAGUUUCAAGGAGUUGAAGGAAAGGCUAACUUCGACUCUGGUACUCGCUUUACCGGUGCAAGGUGAAGACUUUGUAGUCUAUAGCGACGCUUCCUAUCUAGGAUUAGGGUGUGUUUUGAUGCAGGGCGGGAAGGUAAUCGCUUAUGCGUCCCGUCAGCUGAAGAGCUAUGAAAAGAACUACCCCAUUCACGACUUGGAGCUAGCGGCGGUAAUCUUCGCCUUGAAGCUGUGGAGGCACUACCUGUACGGUGCCCAUUGUGAGAUCUAUACCGACCACAAGAGUCUAAAAUAUCUGUUUAUACAGAAAGAGCUCAACAUGCGACAGUGGCGGUGGUUAGAACUACUAAAGGAUUAUGAUGUGGACAUCCUUUACCACCCGGGGAAAGCUAAUGUGGUCGCGGAUGCGCUCAGCAGAAAGUCAGCAGAGAACCUCGCUAUGUGGGUUACAAAUCAAACACCCCUAUGGCUGGACAUAGAGCGAAUGAACCUGGAGGUGGUUGCUUCGGAGAUUCCGACUCAGCUGAUGGCGCUCGUUGUCCAACAGACCUUGUUGGAGAGAAUCAAGAAUCUGCAACCCGCGGACUAAGAACUCCAAAAGGUGCGGCGCUACCUCGAGAAGGGUCGUGGCGGCGAUUUCAUGAUAGACGCCAAUGGUGCACUUCGAUUCCGAAAUCGAUGGUGUGUGCCGAAUAAUGAGGAGAUCCGAGGGCUAAUCUUGCAAGAGGCACAUUGGUCGCAUUAUUGUGAUCACCCGGGCGACACCAAGACGUAUCAGGGAUUAAAAAUGCACUAUUGGUGGCCGGGAAUGAAAAGCGAUAUUGGGCGCUUCGUGGUGAAAUGUUUAGUAUGCCAACAAGUGAAAGCGAAGCGCCGAUUUCCAGCGGGUAAGCUUCAAAGCCUACCAAUCCCCGUUUGAAAAUGGAAAGAUAUAUCGAUGGAUUUCGUGGUCGGCUUGCCUCGCUCAACGGGCAGCCACGAUGCAAUUUGGGUAAUUGUGGACCGAUUGACGAAGUCGGCUCACUUUUUGCCGAUCCACACCACGUGGGCAGGCGACAAGUUGGCGCAGGUGUACCUUGACGAGAUAGUGAGACUGCACGGGGUGCCGAAAUCGAUCGUGUCGGAUCGCGAUCCCCGGUUCACUUCACACUUUUGGAAAAGCCUGCAGGAAGCCCAUGGCACAUAGCUCGAUUUUAGUACAGCAUUCCAUCCUUAGAUAGAUGGGCAAACAGAAAGGACCAUUCAAACUCUGGAGGAUAUGCUGCGGGCGUGUGUCAUCGACUAUAGUGGGAAUUGGUGUGAUCAUUUGCCGAUGGCCGAGUUCGCCUACAACAACAGUUAUCAUGCUAGUACAGAGAUGGCACCAUUCGAGGCUCUUUAUGGGCGGAAGUGUCGGUCUUCUAUACACUGGAGCGAUGUGGGUGAGCGUGCAGAGUUCGGCCCAGACGUGUUGCGAGAAGCGGAGGAGAAAGUCCGCCUUACUCGCAAGCGAUUGCUCACGGCGUAGUCGAGACAGAAAAGCUAUGCUGAUAGGCGCCAUCGAGACAUAGAAUUUGCGGUGGGUGACCGCGUAUUCUUAAAAGUUUUGCCAAUGUGGGAUGUGAAGCGAUUUGGAGUGCGGAGAAAGUUAAGUCCCCGGUACAUUGGACUAUAUGAGAUAUUGGAGCGAGUAGGCAUGGUGGCCUAUCGACUUGCCUUGCCGCCGAAGCUUGCGGAUGUACACAAUAUGUUCCAUGUCUCUAACUUUCGCAAGUACAUUCAUGACCCCGAGCACGCAAUGCUAUAUGAGCCGCCGGAACUCGAAGAGGACUUGAGCUACGAGGAGUUUUCGGUGAUGGUUAUCGCCCGAGAAGUGCGAAAGCUGUGAAAUCGCAAGAUUCCCUACGUGAAGAUCCGGUGGAGCAAUUAUGAUGGUCGCGAGGCCACCUGGGAACUCGAGGAUCUGAUGAGGAAGCAUCAUCCUCACUUGUUUGAGAAAUAAUGUAUGGAAACUGAGUUUAAAUUAAGUUGAAUUAGUUUUGAGGAUGAAACUCCUUUUAAGGAGAGGACGAUGUAAGGAAGUGAAUUCUCGAAAUCCGAGAGUUGGACUUCGUCCAGGAUCGACUACUUGUCGAGUGGUACCCUUCGGAAAAGCCGAAGAUGUCUAAAACCCAAAAAAUACAUUGGAGUUGAGUCCACGAGAGCAAAUAGUGCAAAAUCUGCACUUGGCAGAUUCUGCUCUCGGGGACCGGUCCCUGGCGUCGGGGACCGGUUCCUGUAAGCAGGAAUUCUGGCAGAGAAGGGUCUGCGCAAAUCUGCUCUCUGGGACCGGUCCCUGGUAGGGAAGGACUGGUCCCCGUAGCUGGUGGUUGCGGAGGACCCGUGAUGCAACCGGUCGCCGGCCAGAGGGACCGGUUCCCGUACGCGUAAUCUGGCUGAAGGCUCUCGGGGACCGGUCCUCCCGUUGAGCGACCGGUCCCUCCGCAUGAAAUCUGCCUAGGCAGAGCAACUUGAUAGAGGUAAAGUUGAGGGGCUUGGCUGCAAUUAUGCCCUAGUUAGGGAGUAUAGAGGGCAAAGGGCUCUCUCUCCCUCUCUCAUUUCCACCCUCACACUCUUUCUCUCCCUCUCUCCCUCUAGAAAGAAAAGAAAAAGGAGAAGGAAGGCGAAGAAGAAGAGGAAGAAGAAGAAGGAAAGAAAGGUGGAUAAGAAGAAGGAGAUCAAGGAGAAGGCCUUGGACACCGUCACCUCCCUCUCCUCUCCCCUUUGGUGUAGCUUAAGAGGUAAGCUACCAACCCUAGCAUGGUAAAACUUAGGGUUUUGGGUUUUUAGCUUUUGAAAUGAGGUCAAAUAGAUCUCUAGCACCCUUAAUGGUGGAUUAGAGCUAGAAUCUAGGGUUCUAUGGUGCUAGUUGCAUGGUGUAACCCUAGGGCCCCAAAUUGGUGGUCUUUAAUAAAUGAUGUAAUUGAUCUCAUUUGAUAGCUUGUAAACCUAAUUGAUAGGUGUCGAAACGCGGAGGCGAAGUCGGAUUUUCGAUUCCUCGAACGGGUGAAAAGCUAUCGGCGAAAUAUAGCCGAUUGAGCACCGUUUUGGAUCAAGGAGGCCGAGACAUCGUCGUAACGUUCGUUGGGGAACGUUUCUAGAACCUUCGUACCCUCAAAAGGUGGGGGGUGUCAUCUCGAAGCAACCGAGCUCUUUUCUAUGUCUCAGAAAUACAUGAAUUUCAUCUCUUUCAUGUUGCAUUGUAGGAUUCCAUUGUAGUACCUUAUCCUUAUGCUUCUAAAUGUUAACCUAGUGUGCAUGGAAUACUUGGUGAAAUGGAUAGGUAAGGAUUGGGUCGGAACAUGGAUCCUAUAGUGCCAAAAGAAAGAGAUGAACUCGAUGGUUAUUCAGUGACAUAGAGAGUGGCAUUAAUGUAGUGUACUUGACACUAGAGGUUCAUGAACUUAGGGAUAGAUGGAUUCCCUAGUAAAUGACUCGUGAACAAUGAACUUAGUAUAGCUAAGUAAUUAUGCAUGAAUGUCGGAAUAGAUGAGUUCCGAGAGAAUGUUGGCCCUAGUUCGUAAGGUAUCCUCACGUGGAGAGGAUAGAUCAAGCUCACGGGCUAUUAUUCGGGGUGGUAGAGCCAUCCAUAUCCUCACAUGGAGAGGAUUUGUCGUCGAGUACUCCAGAGUGUCGGGCGAUUAGGACAGAGUUGAUGUCCACAGAUAGUCCCGGGUUUGGGGGCACAUGGAGUCUCCUUACCCUAUGGGAUGGAUAUGUGAGGGUAGGCAAAUCCAAGGGUUUCGCUACAGAUUGGGUAAAUGAAAAGUUAAUAUUGUCAUCGAACAUUGCUUAUCGAACAUGGAUCGAACUUGUUAGCAUGAUAGUAAACUUUUACUAAAUGAUGCAUGCAUUCAUCUCACAUGAUUAUGGGCAUAGUAGCAUAGUUUUUCUAUUAUGUCUUACAGCUUUGAUAUACAUAUAUCUAUCUGUUUCGUUGUUACUUUUGCCCACUUGGACCUAGUGGGGAGAUCGGCGGAGUCGGCGGCCGAGCCCACUGGGAACUAUGGAAGAUAGUUCUCACCCCACUUUAUUUCUAGGGCUAGGUACAGGUUUGCCGGGCGAGGGCCGCGGCAAAGGCAUCGCGCCCGACCAGUGAGGAUUAUUGGUAGAGUAGUAGUUUUCAUUUUGCAUUAGCACACCUAUGUAUUUGAGAGAGAUUCAUGUAGGUGAGGACUUUGGAGGGCUGUGUACUUGAUGAGCAUGUAUUCAUUUUGGAAAGAAAAAUGUAAUCGUAUAAGGAAUGCAAAUGUGAUGUAAUAGUUAGUACUCUUUUUAUUUCACUUGUGUAUCUUGUAGAUUACUUGCUCUUCGUUGUUGGCACUAUUUGUGCCCUGUUGAUCGUGUAUGUACAAAUUUAAUUUUUCUGGGUAAAUUCUUGUACAUGAUCAGGUUGUGAGCCUUGGGCGGGCAGGGGAGUUGCUGCCCGUUCGGCGUCCGUUCGCCACGCCCGAACUGUGCCAAAUUGGUAGGGGUUUCGGGGUGGGGGCGUGACAUAUACAAUAUAUGCAAGUCUGCUCUACUUGUCUACGAACAACUAUCACUAUGCAACUAUCAGGAUAUAGAGAAAUGAACGAUAAAUAAAGGCAACCAACAUGUAGAGACUAAAAUACUGAUUUACAAGUGCAAUACUAAGGAAAAGGAAAGUGAAACAAUUUCACCGACUACCAGCUCGAAGCACCCACCUAUACCAUAUGAAGUACACGGUUUGUCAACCGCUUGUCGCUGUCUUCUGCUAUCAUCCGGGCCUAUGCAUAGUUGCAAACGAAGCCGUAAUUAGCCUAACCCACUAGUUACCCAUAAGACAAGACUCUGAGUGAGUCCAACCAUUGGACAAUCGAAUUUUCGGAUUUCAGCUAACGGUCACUAAAAGAUAGCCUGAUUGUCACCCCAACUCGACAGAAUGUUGCACCAACACCAGGGGCGACCCGAAGUAAGACCCAUAGCUAUUCUACACUGCCCGCUAUCCCAAAGCAUCAUUUUAGUGUCCUUGGGACAGCCACACAAUGUGUGCGCUAAAAUUGAAUGUCGGGGCUUUGAAAAUUAGCUGUUUGUAUAUUUGGUCUCGGAACCCUCCAUGGCUUUCUUGCUGUAAUCCAGGGGCUCUAACCUUCCCCCGGCACUUCGCAAAUCAGCCACAAACCUGCUGCAAACAGCAGCAACAAAUACGACACUAGAUCGCACCCGAAAUCGCCCGAAAUUCACGUUAUCGAGCUUCGUUGAGCCCCGAAGCAUGCUGAAGUAUUCUAGAUUUAAUCCUAGCUUACUUGCUAUCCUGAAACACUCGUCUUUGGGUGUCGGAACAACAGCACCUCGUUUGGUGCAAGAGCAACUGGUCCAAUGCGGUCUAUGCCGCGACCGGGGUCCCGAUUAUUGCCGUUUUGGCUCCGGAAGACCCCGAAUCGCAAAGCGUCGAUUCAUGAGCGAGGACUUCGGCCCCAGAUCUUUAGAGUGGUGCACCCCUUCUAGAUCAAGAAGUUUGUUGAGGUGUUGGACAGGGCUCUUUGGGUGGAGCAUGGGAAUGCGUUCGCGCGUGAGGAGCACGAGGCAUUUGAAAAGGACAAGGGGAAGAAGCGAACUACGAGCAUUUCGGGGGGACAGUCGAGUUCCAAGAGGCCCCCGAAGUACCCGCGAGCACAGUCCAAGGGUCCAGGACCCCUACGAUGCGUUAUUUGUGGCAGAGAGCACCGACCGAUAAAUUGCAAGCAGCGAGAGGGGAGAUGUUUUAGAUGUGGUCAGAUGGGACACUUCAGCCGUCAGUGCCCAGGAGGGUCCUCGCCUGCCCCUUCGACUGCUUCUGCUCAGUCGGCUACUCGACAGUUGGAGCUCCACCUUCUGCUGCAUCUGUUGGAAGUGCCUUGGUACCGCGUCAGUCUGAAGGACCCCGAUCGGUGCCUAGCGGUCGCGUAUUUGCCGCCCAAGUGGAGGAACCUGCUGCAGUCGAUGUUGUCGUGGCAGGUAUUGUAUUGAUAAAUGGAAUCAGAUCUAGGGCGUUGUUUGACACGGGCGCAUCGCAUUCAUUUAUUUGCCAGUCAGUUACUAGUAUUCAUGGCAUAGAGGUUCAAGUGAACGAGGAUACUUGAUAGGUUGAUUCCCCCGAGCAUACGUUUAGUGUUAAGAAUGAGUGUUUGGUUUGUCCAGUACAAGUGGGCGACUGGGUUAUACCGGCAUAUUUACUCAUGUUAAAGCGGUUGAAAAGGUUUGAUUUGAUAUUGGGUAUGGAUUGGCUCUCGAUGCACUAUGCGACGAGUGAUUGCGAUAGUAAGGUGACAACCUUUCGUGAGCCUGGACAAGAGGAGUUCACCUAUCGUGGUUGUAGGAGUUCGCUCUUUGCCAUGAUGGUGACGACGUCGUGGGCAAAAAAGUUGAUUAGUAGUGGUUGCGUGGCUUAUUUAGCAACUGUGGUGGAGACUCGUAGGGAGACUCCGGUGCUCGAAGACAUUCCAGUGGUCCAAGAGUUUUCGGAUGUAUUUCUCGUGGAGUUGCCUGGAAUACCACCCGAUCGGGAGAUCGAGGUUGUGAUAGACUUGGUUCCCUGAUCGGCGCUAAUCUCAAAAGCUCCAUAUAGGAUGGCACCGGCCGAGUUGAAAGAGUUGAGGGCUUAGCUGCAAGAUCUUCUUGACAAGGGAUUCAUCAAGCCGAGUGUAUCACCUUGGGAAGCCCCAGUGCUGUUUGUAAAGAAGAAUGACGGAUCGCUCCGGUUAUGUGUGGAUUAUCGUGAGCUGAAUAAGGUCACGAUCAAAAAUAAAUACCCAUUGCCCUACAUCGACGACUUGUUUGAUCAAUUGCAAUGGUCUCGGGUGUAUUCGAAGAUUGAUCUUCAGUCGUGAUACCAUCAAUUGAGGAUCAAGCCGGAGGAUGUUCACAAGACCGUAUUUUGUACGCGAUAUGGACAUUACGUGUCAUGCCCCAUGGCCCAGCGGAAGCCCGCACGGCGCGUGCACAGACCCGCCGUGUACACCAGACAACCAAAAUGCACACAAGGCGUCUACCAAAACAAGAAAUGAACAUAGUAAAGUCCUAACAAAGCUAUCAGAGCGAGUAAUAUAAAAUCACUAAUGUUCUAGCACAGAGAGAUUCACAAAUAUACAAAAUGUAACAACUAAAUCCAAAAGACUAACAACAUCUCUAAAAUCAAAUGCAUAAUACAUCUUUCUACAAAAUGCAAAAAAGAAAGAUGAUAACGGGUCCAUCUAAAUAACUCCGUAGGGGCUCUAGCUAGUCGCUAACCCCUUGCCACGAUCCCUAGCCUUUCCAGCCGCGGAAGGCUCUGAAAUAAAAAUCAACAACAAAUGGGGGUGAGAACUAUUAAACAAUAGUUCUCAGUGGGUAAGCUGCCGAGAGUGGCGAAAUACACCACUAGGUCAACUGAGGCAUGCUAUAGAGGGGUAAAUAAACAACAUAUAUGAAAGCAAGUAAAUAAAUAAAACAUGUUGAAUCAUAGUCAUGCCUCCACUACAAAAUUAACUAUUAAGUAUAUGAUGUUCUACUUUCAUCUGAUCAAUUAUAUGUCAAUGUCGAUUUACAUGCAUAUUCAUUUGUAUGCCAAUGUCCAUUUACAUGCAUAUUCAUAAUGUCCAUGAUACUACAUAGAGUAAAUUGUGCUUUUCAUUGUUAUUCUAGUCAUGCAUACGUACUAGCACAAGAAUAUAGGUUUACUACCACUAAAGCUAUCAAUGUCACAAUGUCCCACAAAAUGUCCAACUACUAUGUAUGCAUCAAAUAGCAGUAUAAGGUAGCAAACCACAUGUAUGAACAUCUAUUAUGUAUGCAUCAACUAUGGUGAUGUACAAUAUCAAAUUAAGUCUUAAUACCCAAUUUACAAGGAACGUACACGUGGUAACGUCCUGGCUCGUGCCGUGCCUUAGUGGCCCGUGGGGGUCAUCAUUUUUCCUGCAAGAAAAGAGACUCUGCCCACAGCAUCCCACUUCGGCGCCCAAUCCCGCACGGGCGAUCUAUCGUCCCAAGGCUAAACUCCGGAGUGCCGGCUUGCAGGGAGCGACCCUCACAAGCAUGUGCGAAUGAGCACAAGGGUAAGCAAGCGUGAUCAUAGUAUAGGGUUCACAAUUUGGGAUACUCAAUCAUCAUGUCUAAAACAUGAAAUUUUUACACAUCGACUCGACAGUCGGGUACUAGAUUAUUCAUGUCACAUCAUGUCUUGUUUACAACUACUUGGGUGCUAUGUCUCUACCAACACAUAUAAUGCCUAAAGUAUGCAUAGUUCAUAUGACAAUAUCCUACCUAGGAUAGUUCACUACUCCAACAAGGUUCAUGACAUGCAAUUACAACAAUUGUCAAGAGAAACAUUUACUAAUACCAUAUGCAAGAGAACUAUGAAAUGUCCACAAGUACCACAAUGUAUGUUAUGCACAUGUCUUUCCACUAACAUUCCCACUACAUGGAGUAGAAGUAUUAUGAUGCAGAUAAUUAAUUCCACUAGUAUUACGUGCAAUCAUCUCUAUUAGGGUUCGCCCCAAGGGCUUUAUACUCUCUUUUCCUCAUGUCUAACAUAUGGAAUACAACUAUCAAACCCUAGAUCGCAUGUAAUGUCGCAAUGGCAAAUACUAGUUGUUCUACUAACUUAAUGCAUCAAGUUACCAUGUCACAUGUUAAGUUCUAGUUGUCCAACUAGGUUAAAUAUACCAAGUUUAGUUUCAUGAUGACCUUAUCAUAUUCUAUGUCACAUUAUCACAACUACCUUGUCUACAACAAGUAUAAUGUAAAAAAUGCUAAGUUCCAUUCACUUUGUCUAUAACGAGUAUAAUGUUGUCAUCAUGUAAGAUAAUUAUUUACUUAACCCAUUCACUAGGUACCCUCAAGGGAUUAUAUCAUCAUUCAUACUCUACCAUUAGGGUUGCAUAAAAGAUAAAUUGUCAAGAAGUGUCAUUUAGUGCCAAAAUCCACAUGUAUGCCUCUACUACAUAGAGUAUAGAUUCUCACUAUACAUAACAUAUAUAUGUUAUGUUCUCAUAAAUUCUAGCAUGUCAUAAUGAGUAUGAAAAAGCAUCUAAUUAUAUCUAAAAACCAAAAGGAAGACAUAGGGAGAGUUCAUCCAUUUCGGUUAGGUCAAACCCACCGAAAGCACUCGAACCCUUUCGUUCCUUCGAAGAAGUUGUCCACCGAACUUCUAACACCAUAAGAGAAAUUCUAAAGGGUUAGAAACUCCAAAACUACUAUUUCGAAAAUCUUCGAAAAACACACACACAAUAAGGUGAAAAAUACCUUUGAUCGAGCUACACUUGUCCAAAGCUCAAAUCAACCCAAAGGAUCUUCAAAUCCAACCUAAAGGAGAAUUCUACACUCAUCAAUUAGGUUCCAAAACCUCAAACCAAGAAACCCCAAAAGAAACCCUAAUAUCUCAUAUUUAGGUUUCAUCUCAAGAAAUCCACUAAAACAUAAUCUAAAGAAAAGAUUAAAGUUACUAACCUUUCUACAAGCUCCAAACCAAGCUAGGGGUUUGCUAAGCUAAGAAAUCUUUCCUCCAAAAGGCUCCAAUCCAAGCUCCAAAGCUUCUCUAAUGGUGGAAAGGUCAUCAAAAUGCAAAGAGAAGCAAAAGAGGUGAUUAAUCCUCCAAAAUCCAAGCAAAAAUAGAAGGAAAUCAAAGAGGGGAUGAGGAGAGGCUCCUUACCCUUCUCUCCUCAGGUUCCAGGCUCAGGGAACACAAAAGGGGGCGUGGGGUAUUUGUAGAGUAGUAACAAUUCCAAAAAUAUCCCUCAAGAACAAGCAGUCAGCAAUCUGCACUGCGUACCGGUGACACGGGAUGGGGUACCGGUACCAUGCAGCAGCACGCGUAAACCCGAGCCUCGAGUUGGCAAGAAAACACACUGGGUACUGGUACCAGCGCAAUGCAGUAACGGUACUAGGUCUAGUACCGGUACUCAGGCAAUACAGUAUAGGUACUCUGCCCUGCAGAGUCCAACCCGAGAGCAAUCCAAAUUCUACAAUUUAGAGAUUUUGGUGCUAAGUUUUCAUCCUCGCUCCUCGGGAUGCGAGUCAUAGGUCGGAACACAAUAAACGACCAUACAGAAAACCCAAAAAGGCUCAGAUUACCAAUCAAACACUCGAACCUUACAAUUUGCUAAAGUUCAGUGUGUUACAUUCUCCCCUCCGUAAAGGGAGUUUCGUCCGCAAAACUACAAAUCAACCACACUACAAACCCAUCCGAAGAGGAUGGAAGAGGCGCUCCAACAGCGCACAAAUUAGAUUCCAAAGGUCUCGAGCAUGCCGGAUUGCUCCAAGGCAUCUCCACACCAAGAUCCCGCGGCUCCAAAGAUUCGGCAUAUCGCAAGCCAAUCUUCCACAAUAGUUCCUCGAACUCAAGUCUUCAUAGGGAAGUUCCAUCUCUAAUCCGCGCUCCUUCAACAAGCUCUUCAGUUGGUCCACAUGAAGCCAAUUGCCCUCAAAGGGCUAAAUUCCAUUUCUUACCUUCCUCAACCAGGUCGAGGGCGAAGUCUAGCUCUGCUUUAAUUUGCUCUUAUAAAUAGAGUUCCAUAAUAUCUCCUUCUCAGGAGGAUUCAAACCGUGUUAUCCAUAGGAAGAAUCCACCGGUUAUACCCGAUACAUAACCCAACAAAACUCCACCGGAGUGCUCGAAAUGAUUGUCACUUACCAAUAAGAGGCGAUAUAAAAUCCAAUCGUCGACCCAAAUCCCAACGAUGAUCCUCCAAAUCCAAGGGUCAUAACUCGUCAAGAAAUUGCACAACUGGGUGCAAUUCUAUUUCAUAGUUAAGCAUGGUGCAAUUUUUUUCCAUGUUGCUUCAAUUUGCCACAUUCCACAAUUCAAAUCCCGUUUGACCACAAAGCAGUCCAAAAUCAACAUCCAUGGUAAAAUUUCUUUCGAUAGCAACGAAAGCAAACGAAUCAUUCCAACUCGCACACCAGAGGUGAUUACUUGAUCAAACAUUCGGCUUCGAAUCACAAUGUAUCCAUGCCAUCUCCAAUUCCACCACUAGGGCAGAAAUCUCAAUUUCACCUCUAUAAUUGCUGCUUAGGGUCGGUGCUCAAAAGCUCCAUGAAUUCCACUAAGGACAUCUCUUCAGUUUCAAUACUCGUUGAUACCAAUCAUAGGGCGAAUCAUAACCAUCCCGUCUGCGAGAAAUUUCCUCACCUGUUCAACUUUGAUGUCCAAUUAAAUCCUUCACCAGUCUAGACGACGGGCUUGCCGCCGAUAGAAUAUCACAUAACACUUGUCACUUGAUUCCUCGAGUAGAGCCAAUCAAAGUCUUACCCUUAAUACCUUCCUUAGUACUUGAUACUUAAGGUGUCCGUCGUCACCGAGCUCAACUAAAGCGAUAGAGAGGGAUCCAUUCAUUCUUCAUUAAUAAGCUCUCUACCGUUGUCAUCUAGAUAUGACUAUUAACCAGAGUGUCAAUCCCAUAAACUCUUUUAUGCAGUUCUAUCCAAUGAACUUAAUUUCUUUGUGCAUGAACCGGAAAAAGGGAAACAAGUAACUUGGUAAUUUCCCUCUCUGAGUUUUCCAAACCACUCAAUCAAACGAUGAGGGUCUCACACCUCGAUCACAUCAAUCUGCCUACGCAGUCAUCCGUCGUAGAUCCUCAUCAGAAUACUUCACGGCCAUCAGCAACUGAUUCCACAAAUCCAUCCAGAAGGGCUUGGAAUUAUCAUUCAGCAAGUCCCUAAACUGGUGGGGCACUAAAAGCUUAGGUGGCAUCACAAUAAUUUCGUGAUGUCUCUGCCCAACAUCAGGAUCCAUUUAAGGUACAACCUUAAACUCCAGCACAAAACGGUCAUACUCAGAUUGUAAUCCAAUCUAUUGAGUAUACCUACAUCUCAAGACUAAUUGAAAAGAUCAAUGAACCUCUACAAUAAUCCAAAUACCAAAUUGUGUUUCAAUUUAGAUCACGAUAGUCAACACAUAGUCGAAACAACCUAGCCAGUCUCACAACAAGUGAGAGCGCUUUCCGUAAAGCAAAACAUUAGGCAUAAACGCCUCUCUGCUAGUCGAGCUCACAAUUUGUGACUCAGUCGGGAGUACUAUACAACUUCUCAGAAGAUAUCCUUCAUUCCGAGAAUUCUCAAACAUCCAAAAGUUAACGGCCAAUUAGGCCCCAAAUCCUCUCCAAUAAUUACCUGAUUUAGGUAAGGAGGUAGUCUUCGCAGACAGCGAGAUUAGACCCUCAAAAUGCACUAUUUCGUGCUCAAGUUCUCAAAGCGAGUCAAUUCAGCUCGCACGACCAAGGACACAAAGUGCUUCACAACUAAUCCAUAACAAGUAGGGCCAAUCCAUUUGUUUGAACACAAAAAUCUCUUAUGAAGUAGGGUGUUCAAAACGACACACCCGAUCAUCCAAUCAUCCUACAUGCAUCGAAAAUGAGUUAAUGCUAAACAGCUCGGCGAACACAGUUAACGACCAUAUCGAAAAUCCAAAAAGGCUCAGAUCACCAAUCAAACACUCAAACCUUGCAAUUUGCUAAAGUUCAGUGUAUUACAUUACGAAUUCACGGUCAUGCCGUUUGGGCUCACAAAUGCCCCUGCAGCAUUUAUAGAUUUGAUGAACCAUGUUUUCAAGUCCUUCUUGGAUCGAUUUGUCGUGGUAUACAUAGACGACAUAUUGGUCUACUCUCAUAGCGACGAGGAGCACAAAGAAUAUUUGAGAAUUGUGCUAUAAGUCCUUCGGGAGGAGAAGCUCUAUGAGAAGUUGAAGAAGUGCAAUUUUUGGCUUCGCGAAGUCACCUUCUUGGGCCACGUAAUUUUCGAGGGUAGUGUAUCGGUUGACCCAAGAAAAAUUGAAGCAAUAAAGGAUUGGCCUCGCCCGACGAAUGUAUGGGAAAUAUGCAGUUUUGUUGGUCUUGCGGGCUAUUAUCGGUGGUUUGUGGAGGGUUUCUCAAAGAUAGUUAUUCCACUUACCCGCCUUACACACAAGGGAACUAAAUUUUUGUGGAGUGACGAGUGCGGUCGGAGUUUUAAAGAGUUAAAAGAGAGAUUGACUACGUUUUGUCGUGUACAACUAUGCAUCCUAUCAAGGUUUGGGGUGUGUUUUGAUGCAGUGCGGGCAGGUUAUUGCAUAUGCCUCACGCCAGUUAAAGAGCUACGAGAAAAACUACCCUAUUCAUGAUUUGGAGCUCGCUACAGUGAUCUUUGCACCCGAAUUGUGGAGACACUAUUUGUACGGCGAACGUUGCGAGGUGUACACUAACCACAAGAGCCUCAAGUAUUUGUCACACAGAAGGAACUGAACAUAAGGCAGCGUCAGUGGUUAGAAUUGUUAAAGGAUUAUGAUGUAAUAAUUCUAUACCACCCGGAAAAAGCCAAUGUGGUGGCGGAUGUACGCUCAGCAGAAAAUUAGUGGAGAAUCUUGCAAUGGCCAUCACGCAUCAGCCAUCGUUGUGGAAGGAAAUGGGGCGGCUCAAUCUCGAAGUUGUGGCUCCGGAAGUCCCGGCUAUGCUUGCUGCCCUCGUUGUUCAAUCGACAUUGUUGGAGAGAAUUAAAGAUCAGCAAUCCUCGGAUCCGAAUCUCCAAAAGGUGCGGCGAGAUAUCGAGAACGGGCGCACAGCAAUUUUAGUGUGGGCUCUGAUAGUGCACUCUGGUACCGAAAUCGUUGGUAUGUGCGGGAUGACAAGGAAAUCCAAAAGAUUAUUUUACAAGAAGCUCAUCAGUCUCCCUAUAGUGUUCAUCAGGGCGGCACCAAGAUGUACAAGGAUCUGAAAAUACAUUACUAGUGGCCGGGGAUAAAAAAGGACAUCGGACACUAUAUGGCGCAAUGCCUUGUGUGCCAACAGGUCAAGGCGGAGCGCCGAUUUUCAGCGGGAAAGCUUCAAAGCCUAAUAAUUCCCGUAUGGAAGUGGGAGGACAUAGCCAUGGAUUUCGUUGUGGGACUACCCCGUUCGCAGGGUGGUCAUGAUGCGAUUUGGGUGGUGGUGGAUCGCCUAUCAAAGUCAGCGCACUUUCUACCUAUCCACACCACUUGGGCUGAUGAUAUAUUAGUGUAAGUUUAUCUUGAUGACAUCGUAAGACUCCACGGAGUUCCGACAACUAUUGUAUUAGAUCGGGAUACCCGAUUACAUCUCAUUUUUCGAAGAGUUUGCAAGAUGCGCUUCGCACACGGCUUGAUUUUAGCACGACAUUUCAUCCUCAAAGUGAUGGUCAGUCGGAGACGACGAUCCAAGUUCUUGAGGAUAUGCUUCAGGCGUGUGUAAUAGAUUACAAGGGCGGAUGGCAUGAUCAUUUGGCAAUGGCUGAGUUUGCCUAUAACAAUAGCUAUCAAGCGAGUAUUGAAAUGGCGCCGUUUGAAGCUCUUUACGGGAGGAAAUAUAGAUCUCCUAUACAUUGGGGUGAAGUUGGCGAGCGAGUUGUUUUUGGCCCCGAUGUGUUGAGAGAGGCGGAGGAGAAUGUUCGCAUUGCUCGCUAGAGGCUUCUAACAGUGCAAACUCGGCAACAAAGUUAUGCAAAUGUGCACCGGCGAGACCUUUAAUUCGCCGUGGGAGACCGUGUUUUUUUAAAGGUGUCACCAAUGCGUAGUGUAAAGCGGUUCAGAGUUCGGGGAAAGCUUAGCCCCUUAUACAUCGGACCAUACGAGAUGUUGGAAUGAGUAGGCACCGUGGCGUAUAGACUUGCAUUGCCGCCCAAACUUGCGAGAGUUCACAACGUGUUCUAUGUGUCCAAUCUCCGCAAGUAUGUUUAUCAUCCAAAUCACGUCCUCUUGUUUGAACCGCCGGAACUUCAUAAGGAUAUGACGUACGAAGAAUUCGGGUAUGCAUUCUCGCCCGAGAAGUUAUGGAAUUGCGGAAUCGUACGAUACCGUAUAUGAAAGUCUAGUGGAGCAAUCACGACGAGCGUGAAGCCACUUAGGAACUUGAAGAUAUGAUGCGGGAGCACCAUCCUCAUCUUUUUGAAGAUCUAAGUUGAGGUAUGAGUUGAGUUUGAGUUGAGUUUUGAGGACGAAACUCUUUUUAAGGGGUGGGGAGUACAAGGUAUUGGCUCCCCGAAGUGUUAUACCAACUUUGAUCAAAUUGAUCAAUGCGUGGUAAAGAGAGCUAUUGGACAUGUUUCAUAUAUGGGCAUGAGGGCUUCGGAGUCAUUAGAAGUAACCUUGGAUAAUAUUUGAGUGGUUUUAGCAUUAUCCGGGGCGAAAUCAGACUUAAGCAAUAAAAAGCUGCAGACUUUGCACUGUGCACCGGUACUGAAGCUUGGUACCGAUACCUAACAUGAAUGCAGAAAUGCUAGCUCUCGGGUUUGGGAAACAUGGCCUUGAGUACCGGUACUGGAAGGUUGUGUAUCGGUACCAGAGGUCGGGUACCGGUAUUCUAUAGAGUGCACAAAUAACCAACGUUCGGGUUGAGAUACCUGGUGGGUGGUAUCGGUACUGGGGACGUCGCAUACCGGUACUGGAGCCCGCGUACCGAUACUCAACAGAAAACUCUGAUAGUCUGUUCUCGGGUUGUGGCAUUAGCCUGGGGGUACCGGUACUCAAGCCUGAGUACCGGUACCCAGUGUUGCGUAAGGCAGAUUUUGAACUGCAACAAAUAUAAUUUGUUCAGGGGUCUAAUUGCAAUUGUGGGAACUUAUAUAUAGUCCCAACACCCCUCUCUCUUCUCCACAGCUGAGAACACCCUCAUUUCUUCCUCUUUUGACAUCUCCUUCUCUUUCUCUCUCUAGAAACUCUCCAACAAGGUCGUUUGGUGGGGUUUUGAAGGAUUUGGAGUUUUUGUGGAGUGGAAGAGGCUCUCCUUCAAGGUGGAGCUUGAGGUGUAGAAGUGGCCAAGGUAAGAUUUAGUAAGUUUAAGGUUAACCUAGAAUCCAUGUUUUUGAGAUUCUUGUGGCUUAGAAACCUAGAAUAAUCCAUUGUUUCUCAUGGUGUUUGGUUUAUGGCCAUGGUUUGGAAACCUUAGGGUUGAAAUUAGGAUUUUUGUAGAUAUGGAGUUUAUGAUGAAAUUGAUCCCUUAAUUUCUUAAUUGAAGGAUAAAUCGACAUGUUGGGAGACUUAAAACGAAGUUCCUACGAGCCUACGACGUACCGUUGGAGAAAAACACCGAUUUGCUUUCGUUACCUUUGGGUUGAGCCAAAACAGUGUCGGUAAAUUGCGGGACUUGAUUUCUUGCCUCUUAGCAUCAAUCGAAGGUGGGUGGUGUUAUCAGAAAUUGUUGAGUUUCUUCCUAUGUCUAUGUUACUAUUGUUGGCCAUUUAUAUACAUGUGUAAAAUUCAUGCAUUGUAGAGUAGUAUGUAUUGUAUACUCAAUUCCUUGCAUGCUCUUAUGGUAAAUGUAGAAAAUAUGAGAUGGAACAUAGAUGUAUAUGCACGAGGAUUGGGUCCUGAACAAUGGAAUCUCUAUAGUGCCAUGAACCGAAUGUGACUUAGACAAUAUAAUGACAUGGAAUGGUGGCAUUUGGACUUGUGAUGUUGAUAGCACACGUGACACUAGAUGUUAGGGAUGGAUAGAUCCUCGAGUAUUGUUACUCUUAGUUGGUAGGGUAUCCUCUAGUUGGAGUAUUGGAUUGUACUCACAUAUCGUCUAUCGGCUUGGUGGUGGUCGCUCCACCCAAGCAGUGAUGUCACGCCCCGCAACCACCAAUUUGGUCGGUUGGGGUACGCCGAAGAGACGCCGAACCGACAGAACCUCCCCUGUCUGCCCAAGGCUCAACAACAAUCAAGUACAUAUAGUUGCCCAGGAAACAUUAACCGCAUACAUGAUUCAUUGCGAGUAUAAACAAGCAAGAGCAAAAAAGUGAGAGUACUAGCUAUUACAUUUCCAUUCAACCAUUUGUAUCAUUGGUUAUAUUUUCAUCUCCCAAAAUGCAUACAUUAGGUUUACAUGUUCAACUCUCCAAAAGUAACCUCUCGCAAAAUACAUCAAGUCUCUCACAUGCAUAGGGUACUCUAAUGCAUAAAGGAAAGCUGCUAACUACUAGGCGCUAUGCCCUUACCACGGUCCUCGCCCGGUCAGCUCGAACUCGGCCCUGCAACAAAGUGAGAUGAGAACUACGAAUAGUUCCCAGUCACUGCAACAAAACUAAGUUUUAAUGGUGAUUAUUUGUUAAAAUCCUGGCAAUUAUAAUUGCCGCUAAAUAGUUUAGUGGCAAUUGUAGUAAUUGCUACCAAUGGUGGGGUCGGUAAAAGUUAUUAUGGCAUUUGUUUGGACGGUCGGUAAAAGUCUAAACAAAUGCCGCUUAAUCCUACCCAAUAACAACAAUUAUAAAUGCCAUCAAAAUUAAUUAUAAUUGCCACUAAAAGUAGACUAAAUAAUUACUAAAUAAGACUUAUAGCGGCAAUUGCCAUAUAUAUUAAAACACUUGAUCCACAAUUAAAUAUUCCAAUAAAUUGAAAUUAGAAAACAUGCAUUACCAAAAAGCAAUCAUAAUUUGCGACAAAUCAUAGUUUCAAUAUUAAAAAUAAAUUUCAUACAUGAGUUUCAAUNGCCACUAAAAGUAGACUAAAUAAUUACUAAAUAAGACUUAUAGCGGCAAUUGCCAUAUAUAUUAAAACACUUGAUCCACAAUUAAAUAUUCCAAUAAAUUGAAAUUAGAAAACAUGCAUUACCAAAAAGCAAUCAUAAUUUGCGACAAAUCAUAGUUUCAAUAUUAAAAAUAAAUUUCAUACAUGAGUUUCAAUUACAGAAUGCUUGUUUGAAUUCUAGCCAAACUAUCUCGAAAAAAUCCUAAAUUCUGAGUGCUCAAGCCAUUUUUUUGGACGGCAGCAAAAUGGCGGGCACGCAAAUAGAAAUGACCCCAGGCACACGCGAGUAUCUCCUCACAGUCAUCAUUGCCUAAAAAAUCCAAGCUGAUAUAUGUUUAAUCAAUCAGACAUUAUGAAUGGCUUUUCUACACCAGAUUAUAUGCCAAAUGCACAUAUAUUUGCAAAUAGCUGAAUUAUCGAAGAGUUUAAGCUGUGAUUAAGAUUAUAAAGAGCUAUUAAUUACAAUGGCCAAAAAUGAUCAUGUCAAGUCCAUUAGAGCAUUAUGAGAAUGAAAUACUAUCGUGAGUGGAGCAGCGCCGCAUCUCCAGUUGUAAACUGGGUGCUUCAGGUUCGUUACAGUUGCUAUAUAUUUGUUCAAACCAGCUGCAAGCAUACGACAAUAGAUAUGGCCGAGAACUUGCACGUAUUCAGCUUGUGGAAGCUGCUCAUGACAUGAAUUUGACAUUCAAAAAGAAGAUUCCCACAAAAUUGAAACUCACAUAGGCAUAAUCACCUUCAAAUUUCAAUGGUAGGGAUCCCCGAGCUUGAUAGCCAAAAUAGUGGCAUAUGGCAUUAAACUUUUUCCCCUUAUAUGCCCCUUGUUUCUGGAAGAAUUAAAGCACAAAGCACAGAAAUGUUCAAAGAAAAUAACAAGAAAUACAAGACAAAUGAUAGGAUUAAUUAGAUACAUGUUUUGCGGAUAAAAAAGUACUCCUUAAGACUUUAUCAACUAUGUACAAUAAGUUAGGUCUGAAUCUUUGAAGUCCUAACUUGUACACAAAUUUUAAAAAAGUAAAAUCUACCAUUCGCUCGUUCAUUUCUGCUUCGACCAAAGUGCCUAGUAGUUUCUCUCUCUCAAUCUGCACAUAAUUACAAGAAAUAAGUACAUAGACAUAUAAAACAACCUUAUGACAUUGCUAACUGCUGAAUCCGAACAGAGUUGGAAACAACCUUCUUCGCUCUAGCUUGGACCACAUCACAAAUAUGCUUUGUAAUGUCUACAAUAGUCAGUUUAGACAAUGCCACCACCUCACCUAGGAGGAGCUGAUAUAAAAUUAAAGUGAUUCAAGAUAUGAAAGAAAAUGCGACUUUAUUGGAAUGGAAUCAUCUGCUAUGAAAUCAAACCAUGUUUCAGUGUGAUUGGAGUGCACGCUCCAAAGCCACAUGUGAUGCUUUGUGACCCAUCAACCGUAUGAAGUGAUAGUACUACAUAAAAUGGAAUUUGUUCAUUUCAGAAACCAUAAGAUAAAUACUUGGAAGCAUCACAACAAUGAUACGCAUCUCACGCCAUAUAAGAACUAUUCUCUACUAAUAAUUGCACGAAAUUCAAAUAGAAAGAGUGAUCGCAAAAAUAAAACUACUAAUUGCAAACACUAAACAAGUGAUGAUCUUCUUCUAAUGAUCCACUUAAUCAAUUUGGAAAAUGUUUCUCCAAUAUCAAAUAAUAAAAUCCUCUUUAGUGGCGAUUUUUUUUUCUGUUCAAAAAAAUCAUUCAGGCAGUGUAAUGACUGAAAGAUGUUCCCGCAAAUUCUACACAAUAUGGUUUCUCCAUGAUCUAUGUCCAUUCAAAACCAAAAGAUUAACUUUUCACGCAGUCACCGACCGUUCCUAGAGCAAGUGGCAAAGGGCUUGGUGGUUGCUACCCGAGGUCCCAAGUUCGAAUCCUAGUUGAUUCACAUUUCUAGCUAAGUUUAUUUCUAAAUGAAAUAAACGAAGCGGGUAGCGUGCUACCUAUCUCUCAAAAAAAAAAAAAAAAAAAAUUUCACGCAGUCUAUAACCUAUAUAAAAACAACGGUUUCAAAAACAUAAGAUAGUAAUCCAUACCUUGCCAGCUGAGAUGGCAUCUAGGCAAACAUUGCUGAUGAGCUGCGAGUUGAUCUGGAAGUAUAUAAAAUUAAAGCCUACUAUACUAGUCAUUUAUGAAGAAAAGAUGUUGAUUGUUAAAACAAUAUUUUUCAGCAAAAAUAAAAAAAAUAUAGAAAAAAGAACUACGAAAAAUGUCCACUAUUAAAUUCAUUUAUCAUAUUUGGCAAAUAUGAAUGGAAUUCAACAAUAUUUUCCACAACUAUACAUGGAUCUGGGUUACCAUGGAGUAAAAAAAUUAUUUUAUAAGAAGGAAUCUUAUAAAAUAAAAGAUCCGGAACAAAUUCAGGGCAAUCACGAAUUAUUGAUAUAAAACGAGUCAUUUCAGGAUGCAUAGAUAAACUACAUAAAAUUAUAUACCUUUGUUGGGCAUUUUAAUUCGGUGAAUGUCUCUGCAAGCUGAGCGGCAUCUGUGUUGGAAGUUGUUCCUUCAUAGACAAAUCAAAACAAUUAAGAAGCCGCAGUAAUCAAUCUGAGAGCAAAAUAAUUAACGACCUGUAUGUGGAUCAACGGAUUCCUCCAGUAAUGACAAGACUAUCCAACUUCAGAUCUUGGCAUGCCGACAUUGCAACAUUCACUUGCUUAGUUGUUCUUAUUUGAUCCACACUCCGACCAAGCAUAUCGAAACCACCUUCACAAGCAAAAGAUUUUAUGUCGACAAAAUAUAUAUAUAUAAGGUAACACUGAAGCUAAAACAGAAAAAGAGAAGGGCAACUUCGUGCAAACCUUGGUGUUUGUACGUAGAAAGAACUUCAUCUGUGAUUUUCAGGGUUUUCUGUGCAAAUAAGCCUUCUGUACCACCUAUAUCCAGAAAUAGGAAGAAGCAAUGAGCAAGAAAUGCUGAAGAAUAUUAUAAUUUGGAACUGGAGUUGAGCUAGAAGAGUCGAAGCCUAUAAACAAAAGUGUAAUUGUUAUUAAAGUGCAAUCUUCAGAACUUGGCUUUGGCAACAAAUCUAUAACAGCGAGUAUACUUGAAAGACUACUAAUCACUUCAACUCCACAAAUGGAACUUCCAAUCCUCACAAAUAAUAUCUGAUCUCCUUUCUAACCGUGUUUAUGUGCGCUGCACAUGCUUCAUAGCGUUCUGAUAAAUCAAAGCUAAUCGCAAAAAAAACAACAUACAACAUAUUGCUAUCGAAGAAAAUUACAUGCUUGCAAGGGGAAGAAAGGUAUGCUAAACUAAAAGGGCUGAUUUAACAUGUUAUUUUGGUGACUUACAAGCCUAGAAUAGAAAACACGGCAGUCAAACUUGAAGAAACGAUAUGCUACCUCGUAAAGAAAAAUGCUCACCAACAAAUCCUAGCAAAAGUAUUGUCAGGAUUGUGAAUUUUUAUAGCAUCGUAAAGGCCCCAAAUUACGUUGUGGCCUCAUGGUGAUUGUCUUCUGGAAAAUACAACCCCAACCCUACAGCAACAGGUUUUGGAGCUCUAAGCAUCAGCUGGCAGCUUCAGUGUGGCUCAACAUGCCAAAAAAUGAUGUGUAUAAUAAUGACAGUCCAGCAAAACAAAUUCUUGGUCUAGAUAGAGGAGGUCAGCAAUCUAACAUUUUUGUCCAGUUUAAAUCUUCUGAGAGGUAAGAACUGCAAUAAACCUGAUAGGUGGCUGGUCCUCAAUGAUAUGCGUGUCGGGGACUUUCGAUGUUGCCCUCAGAAAAUGAGCUAACAGCUGCCCGAAAGUGUGGGGAAACGCUUGGGCGAUAACAUGCGCGCUAGAUGAAUCGGUGGUUGUCGUCGAAUCCCCAUACUCUACUCUCACUGUAGUCCCCUGUUUCAAGAGAUCAUGCUAAGUAAAACCAGAUAGUAUUCACAGGAAUCAGCAACAAAACAAGUCCUAUUCGGAAGAUGCAGCGAGCAAUUACGGUGACUAAAAAACAUACUAAGAUGAAAGAACAAGUGAUUGUAAUAUUUCCUGUAUUCAAUAUAUGAAAAUCCAAACUUUCCGCAGCAAUAAUUAAGUUCUUUACAAAACGGCAAUCAGCUCUCUCAUCUCGGGCUUCGCUUUUUCUCUGACUAAANAACAAAACAAGUCCUAUUCGGAAGAUGCAGCGAGCAAUUACGGUGACUAAAAAACAUACUAAGAUGAAAGAACAAGUGAUUGUAAUAUUUCCUGUAUUCAAUAUAUGAAAAUCCAAACUUUCCGCAGCAAUAAUUAAGUUCUUUACAAAACGGCAAUCAGCUCUCUCAUCUCGGGCUUCGCUUUUUCUCUGACUAAAACCUCCUCAAAUUUUACCUUCCUUCGGCUCUCCUCAACUUCUUUAGACUGCGAGACUGCACUCACCACUUGGUUGGAUAGCUUACCAAUGACCGCCAUCUCCCUGUUAACCCAUAACUCUUCUUCUUCUUGUUCGAGGAACUCUGCGAUUUUCAUAAACAAUUUGUCUUCGAAAUCAUAACUAUCCCACCAUCCAUAUUAAUUUGUAACCAUACUGAACUAUACACUGGAACAUUACAUUUAGGACUUUUACAUAUGUAUCCAUGCAAAAUCAUCUGUCUAGUGUCUACACAUAUGCCCCUUCCAAGUGCGAAGUUGGUUCUGUUCUAAGAAAGAUCUUUAAGAGAGGACAUUCUUGUAGAUGCGUAUAUUUAAGAAAUUAAGCUUUAAAGGGCCUAUAAGAGAAUACGGCAUAUAAGUAAAUAGAUAAUUUAGCAUGGGGAUAUAUGUAAGUAUCUCUUAAGUUUAAAAGUUGGACUUAUGGGUAAGAUAAUAGCCGAGUGAUGAAGCAUAUACCAUAGGCAUUUCCGAUCAUAUGGGUGUCCCUGAAUCCAAUUGUGACGGCUAGACAAAGAAGCAUCAAAAGCCAAUUCACCUCCGGUAUGUAUAUCUGCCCAUGGACGUGACUUGAUGUGUGUAUGAUCUUAAUGCAAGAAAAGCACCCCAAUGGCCUACACUAGCUGAUUUUGGAGAAGGUAGCUGAUAUAAUUGCUUGGCUUCCAACUACUGUGGCUAAUGUUGCGAUGAUUAAUAUUGGUCAAAAGACAUUCUCUGGAUUGAAUGAACAAACGAGUACAAAGAAAGCAUCAAAUAGUGUUAAAUAAACUUCUUAAUGGCAAAACUAAAAUUUUAAUUUAUUAUUACAUGAUUAAUAUCGGCCAACUUUUUAUUUCCCAUAUAGGGCAAAGAAGACAAAUUUGAGAGGAUCAACUUCUCUCUUGCUACUCGAUUUCUGUCGACUAGAUGAAAUUGCUCAAGCAACAGUUAUGAUAUAUUACUCGAGUAAUAUAAAUUAUGAUAUAUUACUCGAUAGAGUGAGGAUUUGAACCUAUAACUCAUAAACGAACAACAAAAAGCAAAAGAAAAAGAAAAAAAAGCUCAUAGAGCGAGGAUUCGAACCUUGGUUUGGAAAUCGACGGAUUGGAUAUCCGCCUUGUAAGCGGAGGCGGCGAUCUCCCCGAACGCAGCCUUGAGGGAGAGGGAGGAGUCGACCCAGACCCCAUUCGCGAAGGAGACGCGGGGCCCACCGGCAGCGGAGGCGUCGGCGAGGACGCGGCCGACGACGUGGGCGGCGAGGGCGGAGACGUCGUCUGUGGUGGCGUCGGCGCCGCCCGCGGGGGCGAGCACAGCGAGGAGCUCGUCGAGGGUGGGGCCUGCAUCCCCGCCGCGGCGAGGCUGAGGAGCGCGUGGAGGAAAGAUCGGAGAGGUGAAUGUGAAGGAAAGGGAGGCGACAGAAGAGGUGGAGGAGAUGGGGAGAGCUCGAUCGAGGUCGAGCUCCGCGUGGGAGGAGGGGGCGCAAAUGAGGUGGGGGGCGAAUAGGGUUAGGGUGGGAGGUGCACUCUUGUGAGCCCAAUCGUGCUGUUUUGGGUUGGAAUUAGAAUUAGGGGUAAGAUUAUAUUGAUUGUCAAAUAAAUAUAUUUAAUAUAAAAUUAACGGCUAUUUAAAAUAAUUGUCGCUAAAACAUAUAUUGAUAAAAAGUAUUAACGGCUGUCCAAUAAUCGAUGCUAUUAAAUUGCCGCUAAAAGGCAAUCUUGUUGUAGUGAGUGGGUUCGGCCGCCGACUCCGCCUAUCUUCCCACUAGGUCUAAGUAGGCAUGAGUAGAUAGAUAGAUAGAUAUGAUAAUAAAAGCUGCUAACAUAGUAAUGAAAUCUACUAUCAAUUUACUAUGCUACUAUGCCUUCAAUAAUAUAAUGCAUGAAAUGCUCACCUAGCAAUGAAACCAACUAUCAUGCUAGUAUAUCUCAACAAUGUAAUUGAAUGAAAGAACUACAUAGUAAUGAAGUCAACUAUCAUGCUACUAUGUUCAACAAGUAUGUCAUUCAUUAAUUCAUCACCCAAUCCACAUGGCUACCCCGAAGGUUCGCCCCGACUCACAUCUCAAAUCCCAUAGGUGAGGAGUCUUAGCUGCUCAACCCACCUGAGACCGACUACGGGACAACCACGUCUGCCCCUAGUAUGAUGACUCCGGAGUGCGCUGCUUGGGUAGAGCGACCACCGCAAAACGAAAACAGACUAUGUGAGUAUGAUCCAAUCCUCGUCAACUGAGGACACCCUACCAACUAGAGCUAACAACAACUCGGGAACUCAACUGUCCCAAUGUCCAUGUUCAAGUGUCUCAACUACACUAAGUUCACGUGUCAUUUGUCCAUAACUAGGAAAAUUCAUCUAUUCCUAGAUUCAUCAUGUCAUUAGUGCUUCUACUACACUAGUUAUAUUCCACUCGUUAUGUCAUCAUACAUGGUUUUAUAUGCCACUCGUCUAUGUCAUCAUUUGUUACCGACAUUAUAGGAUUCCAUGUCAAGACCCAAUCCUCAAGCAUCCAACAUGUAAUGUGUUCAACUCACAAUGCUAUAUCAAUCAAGGAAGCAUAUAAGGAAAUGGGAAUGCAACUACCAAUACCCUACAAUGCAUAAUCAACAUACAAGAUGCAUGGUCAACAUUAGAACAUAGACAUAAAGUGAAGUCCGAUGGCUUCGGAUAGCACCCCCCACCUUUUGGUGAUGCCAAGAUGCUAGAAACCAAAUUUCGUGAUUUUUGGACGUUGCCUCGGCCCUCCAGGCGGAAACGAAGCAAAAACGAUCGUUUUCUUCAAUACCGUGCCACAUGCCCGUAGGAACUCCCGUUCGAGUUGCCCACAAUGUCGAUUUUACCUUCAAUUAGGUUUACAAAGGGUCAAUUUAACCAUAAACCUCAUAUCUAUGAAAACCCCAAUUGCAACCCUAGGGUUUCCAUAGCAUGAACUACAUGAGUUCAUCAUGUGAUCCCAAGGUUUUCUCUAAGUUUUCCUUCAUGUAAGAAGAUCAAAUCCAAGUGUUUUAGGGUAUAAAACCAAACCCUAAACAAGUUCUUACAAGAAACCUUACCUUAGCCUAUGAACACCACGAGCUCCACCUUGUAGGAGAGCUCUUCACAUUCAAAAAGCCUCAAAUCUCCUUCAAAUUCCCUCCAAUCUCCACCAAUCACCCUUAGGGAGAAGCUUCUAGAGAGAGAGAGAAAGAAAAUGAGAGAGGAGGAGUGUUCUCAGCUUGUGAACAAGAGAGGAGGAGAUGGGGUCCUCUUAUAUGUUCACACAAUUGCAAAUAAGCCCUCCAUUUUGUUUUAUUUGUAGCAGACUGCAACCUGUUGUUCGCAGUGCAGUGUACCGGUGACACGGGCUCUUGUCACCGGUACACCAUCCAGCAGCAGCCAAACCCGAGAGAUGCUGUUCUCGGGUUGCUGCAGAGUACCGAUGACUAACCAGGGCUGUCACCAGUACACUGCCCCAGUACCGAUGACACCCGAAUGUUGUCACCGGUACACAGCCCCAGAUGCCCAAACCCGAGAGCUGCUGCUCUCGGUUGCCUGCCUGGUACCGGUGACACCCAGGGCCAUCACCGGUACACAGUACUCAGAUUGCAUUUUUUUGGUAGAGCUCAGUUCUAUUUCGCGUCGAGCAAUGCUAAAACUCGUUAAUCUCAUUUGGAACUCAACUUUAACCCUUCCGACAUUAUUGAAAUGUCGUAUGGACCGUGUCCAACCAUAUCUCUCGCCACGUUUUAAUCAUUUUGACCAAAAGUGGUUUAACUCGACGAGGAUCCAUUAUCUUACAAGUGAGCUCCGGAGUGGUCACACACUGGGUUAACGUAUCUACCCAACAGACGGUCCCCGAUGAGUGUAGCGGGCGUCUCCUCAUCUGCGGGAUUGGUUGUGAGUUGGGCUCAACCUUCGGGUUAGCCGGUGUGAUUGGGUUACAAGCAUAUGAAUGGCAUGCAUCAUGAGCAUAAUGGUUACUUAUUCAUCAUAUCAUAUUAUUGAGGCACAGUAGUAUGUUAGCAUUCCUUACUCUUGUUCUCCUUUCUACUUAUGCCUACUUAGACCUAGUGAAAAAAUUUGUGGGGUCGGCGGCCGAACCCACUGGAAACUUCUUUUAGUUCUCACCCCAUUAUUUUGCGGAUCCCUAUCCUAGCGGAGCGGCCGAGGAUUGUGGCAAGGGCAUAGCGCCCUAGGUAGUGGACUUCCCGUGCAUUAGUAUACCAUGUACCUAUUUAUGUGAGAGACGUUUUAUGUUUUGGAGAGAACAUGUAGUGAGGAUGGCUACGUAUGAAUUAGAUGGUUGUAUUUUGGUGAGAUGCAAAUGGAUAAGUAAAUGAAUGGUUGUAAUAGUUAAUUUAGUUAAUCUUCUCUCUUGCUCUUGUAUAUUGCCCUUGCGCAAAUCAUGUAUGUUGUUUGUUUUACUUGGGCAAAACUUGAUGUACAUGAUGUUGUUGAGCCUUGGGUGGUAUAGGAGAGAUUCUGUCCGUUCGAUGGUCUGUGUGCGUGCCCGCAACCGAUCAAAUUGGCGGUUUUGGGGCAUGACAAACCAUUGGACAACUCGAAUUUUCGGAAUUCGGCUGACGGUCACCGAAAGAUAGCCCGAUUGUCACCCCAACUCGACAAAAUGUCGCAGCAACCCCUGGGGUGACCCGAAGUAAGACUCAUAACUAUUCUACACUGCUUGUUGUCCCAAAGCAUCAUUUUAGUGCCCUUGGGACAGCCGCACAAUGUGUGCGCUAAAAUGGAAAGUCGGGGCUUCGGAAAUUAGCCAUUUGGCUUUUGGGGUGCCGUUUUUGGUCCCGGAACCCUCCAUGGCUUUCUUGCUGCAAUCCAGGAUCUCUAACCUUCCCCUGGCACUUCGCAAAUCGGCCACAAACCUGUUGUGAACAGCAGCAACAAAUAUGACGUGAGGUCGCACCCGAAACUGCCCGAAAUUCACGUUAUCGAGCUCCGUCGAGCCCCGAAGCAUGCCGAAGUAUUCCGGAUUUAAUCCUAACUUACUUGCUGUCCCGAAACACUAGCCAUUGGGUGUCGGAAUAGCAGCACCUCGUUUGGUGGAAGAGCAAUGUAACACACUGGACCAGUGCAAAUUGCGAGGUUCGAGUGCUUGACUUGGAUUCCGAGCUUUUCCACACUUGGUUGAAGGUCGUAGAUAGUAUUCCGACCUAAAAGUUCGAUUUCUGGAAUCUUGGCUAAGUCCUAGAGUUUUCACUCUCGGGGACUGGUCCCUGGUAGGAGAGACCGGUCCCAUCGGAACAGUGUUGCGGCAGAACUUGAGGCAACCGGUCCCUGGCUGAUGAGACCGGUCCCCGAGCGCGACUACGCGGGGAGAGACCGGUCCCAUGCGGGGAGAGACCGGUUCCCGAACGUUGGAUUUGCCGGAUGAACCGAGAGAUCAGUCCGAGGCAGGGAGAGACCGGUCCCUCAGCCCGAAAAUUACCCAGUUCGGGCAGUGCAAUAGUUUCAAAGUUGAGGGGCUUUUUCUGGAUUUUAUUACAAUAGAUGGCCUAAAUGGCCAUUUCACCUCUCUCCCUCCCUCAUUUCACACUCUCCCUUGCACUCUAGAGAGAGAAAGAGAAGGAGAAGAAGAGGAAGAAGAAGGAGAAGGAGAGGAGCUUGCUUGGAGGCCUUGGAGCAUCUUCCUCUCCCUCGUUUCGCACCUUUGGUGGCUUGGAGCUUGUGGUUGGAGCCUUGUGGUGGAUCAAUCUUCUACCCUUAGGGAUUUUGAGCUUGUUUUGGAACAUCUUAGAGGUAAGUGGCUAGUUUUCUUCCUCUAUAUCCUAGUUUUGAAGCUAUAAACUAGAUGAAACCCUAGAUUUGGAUUUUAGGGUUUAUUUUGGAGAUUUUUGAUUUGAGGGCUUUGAGACCCAAUUGAUUGGUUUAGAACCUUCCUCUAGGUUAGGUUGGAAGGGUUCUAGCUCUCUUUGGAAGCUUGUGAAGGGAUUUUUACACGAGAGGUGAGUUAUGCCCUUUAUACCUAGAUGGUUAAAGAUUGAGCUUAGUAUUGUUCGUAAUAUUCGUUUAACUCUUGUUCCUACAUUUUUAGGGUGCUAGGAGACUAGUGGACACCUUCGUUGGAGCAAACGAAGGAGCGCAAGAGUUAUGGUGGGUUUGGCUUCAUGAGAACGGGGCAAAAUGGCCCCUACGCUUGCUAUAUUUGUCGUAACGUCUUUUUGAAUGCAAAUCCAUGCUAGAUAGGAUUUAUGUGAAUUUUAGAACACUUAAAAUGCAUGCCUUAUAUAUCAUAAAAAUUUCACUCUAUAUAAUAGAGCAUUAUGAGUAAAUUCCAUGCAUGUGAGAAGUGUUCGUGUUAGUGAUUUGGAAACAUGUCUAUUAUGUUAGAAAUUGCUCAAAUUAUGCAUUUGCAAAUAAUAAACUCAUGUUUGGACUUAGCGGACAAAAAUGCCAUAAAGGGGCACUUGACAUAGUAAACUGUGAAAUUGCAACAUAGAGACAUAGUGAUAGGCCAUUGAAUAUCUGCUAUAUUCUAUGUUAGAGACAUGAUGACAUAGAGAUAGGCCUUUGGGACAUUCGAUAUAUAUAUAUUCCAUGUUGUUAGACAUGAGGACUUGGUACUUGAGACGGAUUUUUUGGUUACUUGCCAUUGUGCUCAUUCGCACAUGCUUGUGAGGGUCGCUCCCUAUAAGCCGGCACUCCGGAGAUGGCCAUCGAGAUACAUAUUCGCCGUGCCGGAUUGGGUGCCGAAGUGGAUUGCCGUGGGCUAGGCUCAUUCCUAGAGUGAGGAUGUUGACUACCACGGGGCCAUUAGGCUCGGCACCGGCCAGACAGCCUACGGGUGGGUCUCAGGGCCAGACAGCCUUUGGCGGCGGGUCUCUUCAGAUUUGACUUGGAGCAUUCAUCAUGCCAUGUGGACAUUAACUAGAAUAGUAAACAAUAACAUCUUUACUAUUUGACUUAUGGACAUCAUACUAGCGAUACUUGGGUACAUUCAUACGAGAAUAGCUUUUCUUACUUAUGCUAAAUCAUGCUAAGUAGAGAUAUCAUGUGGUAACAAAUAUUCAUACUUAUUUACUUGUUGUACAUUUCGCUCUUGUUUAUAUCUGCUUACUGACCCCUUGUUAGUCUGGGCCUAGUGGUGCAUUUCACUGAAGCCAGUAAUUGCCCACUGGGAACUAUUAUUCAAUAGUUCUCACGCCCUCUGUUUUAUGGUUUUAUUUCAAAGCUUUCGGCACCGGCGGAGGCACGGGAUCGCGGCAAGGGAGUCGUAUAGCUAGAUAGCGGAGCUCGCUAUUGCUCCUAGGUGGUCACUCUCUUCUUUUUGAUUUUUGUGAGAGAGAGAGUUUUGUACCAUGUAUAGAGACCACCUGUGUACCUUGUUUAGCUUUCGUUUUUGGGAUUUUUAAUGUAUUACUUUAUGUUUGUACUUAGCGGAUUUCACUUUAUGUUCCUUUUCCUUUUGUAGCUUCUAGAUACACUUUGCUCUGAUACAUCUAGAUGUUCUCUUUUUAUUGCCUUAUUUAUCGUUUUGUUUUAGACGCCUUAUAUAUUUUAGACAUAUGGCGGGUCUAGGCACGUGCCGGGCGGGCUUCCACUGGGUCCCGGGGCGUGACAAGCAAUUGGUCCAAUGCGGUCUAUGCCACGAUCGGGGUCCCGAUCAUUGCCAUUUUGGCUCCGGAAGCCCCCGAAUUGCAAAACGUCGAUUCGUGAGUCUCGAAGGCUCAUUAACGGUAGCACACGAAGUGUUACGCCUGGUGUGACCAGCAGCGACACGAGUCCUAUAACCAAAGCCAAAAACGAGGCUCCGACGGCACAAAUGAUGGUGAUAUAAGCGCUAAUUGCCUUGCUAAUUGAACCACGAGGUUCGUGGGCAUCGGACAAUGAACGAGGACACAAAUAUUUCAAUAUGCAUGCUGCCUACAGCAUCAACGAUGCGAAAACACCGCUAUGAUGCAAACCGAGCCCAAACGCUUGACUACGAUCUCAACGUGCGAUAGUUUCUCGACAACUACGAAGUUACAGCCUUACCGUUGUUCCAGGGGCUUCAAAAACACAGCAAGGAUGAAAUCCUCACGAUCCUUAGGCGCUGGACUCCUCCCACGGCAGUCCCGAACGGGAGUCGCGCUCGCUGCACAGCGAAUCCGCGAACAAUGCCUUGCCGCAGCCUGCGCGCGAUGAUUCAUCGCAAUCUGCGAACCAGCCAAGAAGAGCAAGAAUUUUUAGUGAACCCAACAACGAAAGUAAUCAGCGGAGGGUGGUGCUUACCUUAACCAUGCUCCACAAGGUAAAGAAUAGUAGUUGGGAAAUUUUGAAUUUUUCACGAACAAUCCCCCACAAAAAUUCAAAAUUUUCAAAUAUAAAAAUUAAACAAAAAUAAAUUAAAUAAAUAAAUCAAUUAAUCACCGGAUAUUUAUAUUAUGCAAUAGGCGAUGUGUCUUUAAGAGAAUUAACCCUACUUAGUGUAAAUAGUUUCCAUCAGAAAGAAUCGGAGUGAACCAAGUCUUGAACUACGUUCCUUUGACCCUAACUUCAACUACCACACACACAGUACAGAAUUCUCCGUCGCGGGUCUGUGCGUUAAUGGCCAUGCAUAAUAUCUUGAUUUUUCAUAAGAGCUUAUAUAGACAGCCCACAUCACAUAGCCGCAGCCACAUACGGAUACUCUUAUAUAGGUGGUUUCCUCCAGGGAUGUGUGUAGAGUCACAUCUCGCGGAAAUUAUCGUCUUGGAUUCCAUUAAGAGCUAUCAGCUCAACCUCAACCACUAACAGAGCACUACUCACCAUAGGGGUGGGAUUAGAGCUAAAGCUCCUCUAAAUAAAUUGUAGAAAGUGCUCUUUGGCCAACCUAACAGCUUAUUUUUACCAUAUUGAACCUUCUUCAAGGGAUCUCCUAUCACAAAGGUUGGGUUCCCAUUGCAGGAAGGCCCUAUACGGGCAAAGUCCCACUACUAUAGGUACAAAAUUUAGUGGCGACAUUUAGUACAAGAUUUAGUGGCGACAAAUGUCGCCACCAUAGCCAAAAUUGUUGCCAUGAAAAAUGUUUUGGCGGCGACAAUUCAUCGCUGCAUACCGCCGCCUAAAACCCUGUCGGUAAAACUGUUUAGUGACGACAAUAUUGUCGCCAAUAAAAGUUAGAUAAUUAGCGGCGACAUACUGUCGCCGUGAAAAGUUAGAUAAUUAGUGGUGACAAGUUGUCGCCGCGAAAAGUUAGAUAAUUAGUGGCGACAGAACCCUAAACCGGGACCGAACGUUUUGGUGGCGACAAUUUGUUGCCGCUAAAAGUUAGAUAAUUAGCGGCGGCAUAGUGUCGCCGCGAAAAACUUUAGAUAAUUUGAUUGUGAUUUAAAUCUAACUAAAUUUUGUGAUGAAAAUAAAUAAAUCAACUUACAGAUAAUUGCUAAAUUCCAAAUAAAAAUUUAAUUGAUCCGGAAGCGUGCGAAGCACUGCCCUAAGACGUAUUCCCGUCCUUCAUGCAGGAUUAACCAGAAACACCGCCCCAAGAUACGACCGGAAUUCCACUUCCUACGAGCACGAACGCGGAAGAGGUUGACGGAGACUCUUUCAACACCAGGUGAUAAACGAAUCACAGAAAAUAAAAAAUAUUAUCAAAUCUCUAAAUAAUCUUGCUUCAAAAAUUACUGGACAAACACUUUUUGCUUCUCUGUUUCCUUUUUCUCACUAUGCACCUUUCACAGGCUCAUCCUAUAUAUAUAUAUAUACACAGCAUGCGAAAAAGAAAAAAAGGAUGUUGCCACGUUCUAUGCGGAACGGGUGCGCAUCUAGCGCGCGAGCAGGGCGCGAGCGUGCGCGGAGCGGGCGCGCACGUAGCGUGAGCCCGUAACGUCCGCAGAGAAUAAAAAUAAAAAUAAAAAUAAAAGAAUUAGAGAAUUAAAGAAUAAAUAAUAGUAGUUGGGAAAUUUUAAAAUUUUCACCAGCAUGGAGAAGGUCUAGGACGGUUGCAGCAGGUCGGGGAGGUCCAGAGGAAGGAUUUGGCAACGUCCAAACGCAACCAGUGCUACGCCCUAGCUGCUGCGACUACGGUCGAUUUGAAAUAACCUCUUAAUAAUAAAAAAGAAAAGAUGGGUUACUUUAUAGAGCCCUGCAAUAAUGUGGUCCAUAUUGGGCUAUUGGAUCAAAGGCCCAACGCAGGCCUAUUUUGAGGCCCCCUAAUUCACAUCAUUUCCAACUAAAAAGGCCCGUAUUUGUACAACUCCGUAACCUUGUCGCUCUCUCCCUCUCUCUCUCUUCCUGCGAUUCCGCACUAUAAUCGUCGUCGUCGUCGUCGUCGUCGUCGCCGUCGCCUCUCCGACGAGGUCGCCAUGGACGAGGUCGCGUUUGCUGUGGAGGGCCUGAAUGGGGAAUGGGACGAAACCGCGGUGCAAAUCCGAGAGCGGAUCGCAGCGAUCGAGGGUUGCGGGAGAUCCGGGAGGGGGACGGAGGAGGCGAACUCGCUCCCGCGGUUGAACGCCUCGGCGCAGGACGGGCUCGCCUCGCUCAGAUCGAUGCAGUGCAAGCUCGAUCUACUCGCCCAGCAGUUGCCCACACCAAACGAAGUGCAGCGUGGCCAAUCCACUCUAGAGUCCUGGAAGGAACAGUAUAACAAGUAUGUUUGUUCCUCUUGCAAAUUAUUUUUAUUAUUUUCCCUUUUUCUUUUUCAAGAUCCUAGUGAAUUUUUGCUCGUUGACACUCUUAAUCGUUGGAAAUUUGGAGGGGAAAAAAGAAAAACCAACCAUAAUUUUUGCAAGAUUUUGGGGCUAAUUAUGGUCCGUGACACUCAUUUGGCCGUUAUAAUUUCAUGUUUAUCCCUUUGCUCUCUGAAUCGUAAGAUAAAAUUUGGACGAAUUUAGGGGGGUUUGAGUGAGGUGGCUGAUUGAAACGGAUUGAGAGUUCGUAUAGUUUUUCUUUUAAUUUUUUGAAGUUCGGGUUAGUAAGUAUAAUCCGGCUGAAGUUUGUUUAAUCAGGCCCAACAUUUCUAUUUUUUUCUCGUUUUUCAUGGAUUAAUUUCUCACAAUUUUCCUAUGUUGAUGUUUGUAGGCUGCAUAUGAGCUUGAGGAAUGCGAAUCUGCAGGCGAAGCAGAACAUCAGGAAAGCUGCUCAAGAAGAAGUGAGUUUCUCUUCUUAAACCUGGAAAUCAUAAGACGCCGCAUAUUGAGAUGCAUGAUGUCAUUUUACGUCCACCACUAAGUUUUGGAGUAUAAUUUUGUCCAUGUGCAUCUUAAUCGUAUGUCUGGGUUACUCACUUUUGCUCACUAUUGUUGAAUUUUUCACUGGGAUAUGUCCGUGUGAUUUAAUUGUGUAGUCCAAUGAAAUUGUUUAUUUCAUUCUUCCAUCGGAGUAUCUAAGAUCAUUCUAAUUAUUGGUAUCAAACUCUUUUUUCACAGAGAGAGCUGCUUUUAGGAGGUGGGGAAGAGUCUACCAUCCGCAGACGUAAUUUAUAGUAUGUUGAGUUGUCAAGUGAAAAUUUUCCCAUUUAAAAUUGCAACAUUUAGAUGUUCAUGUAGUCCGAACGAAUGUUUUUUGCGAAACCCGUCCUUAACUUGGUCUUUGAAUUUUACAAACUUGUUGAUUUGGAUUAUUUCCACUACCAGAACAAUUUCCGUUGUUCAUGGCAGUUGGAACGCAAUGUCGCUUGUUAAUAACCAUUCUAGGAAUGCUAAAAAUAUUCAACAAUAGCAACAGCUCUAAUGCUGACUGUCAGCUAUAAAAUGAUUUUAAUGGUUCAUUGAGGAAAUUCAAAGUAGAAGGUUCUUAAUGCUCGGUAGUCCUGAUGAUCUCCAUCAUCGGCUUCAUUUAGGGUGAUUUUGAGAAUUUAGUUGUUGAAAAAAUCGCUAGAUACUUGGUUCAAUGUUAGGUAGUUUUGGUAGAAAAAUGCUCUCUUUGGCUUAUUGUUGCCAAGUGAGAAACCAUGAUUAGCAUUUAUCGAUGCUUAUUUAGGACAAAGGCUGGGAUGACUUCUGCUGCAGAAAGUAUCACUGAGAGCCUCUGCCGGACUCGUCAGCUGAUGGUUCAGGUAAAAUAAGCUCUGCAAGCUCUCCUUGAAAUUUUAUAAUCUUUCUCAGGGUUAGUAUUAAUCUCAAAUGUUUUUGCAGGAGGUGGAAAGAAGUUCUAGCACAUUAGCAACCUUUGGUAUGACUCCUCCUUUUGCUAAGUAGAUUUACUUGCUAAUCACAUGCUUCCAUGAAAGUAAUAUUAGCUUGCUGUGGUUUCUCAUGGUUUGGUUAAAGAAGACUUAUAGCAUGGAUGUAUUGACUAUGUAAUCCGGAAGCAGAUAAGCGUUGUUUCCCUGGAAAAAAAUGAGAGGAAAUUUUUGUAGGUUGGAAAAAGGCUUUGGAAGUACCAUGACUAUUCCUUUCAAUCUUGUAUGAGAUUUGCCUCGAGAAGUUCAGCAAGGUUCCUUUGCCAAAUGACUUAAUAAUUUCUCAAAUUUGAUAUUCAGGAUUCCUAAUAGAAUGUAUGGUGCCUAGUGGCGAGUGCUAUUGGAUUUCAAUAUUGUGCAAAUUGAUUAGUAUCUGUUGUUAAUGCUCCAUGCAAUUAAUGAGGAUGAUUGUGUCUCAUGCCUACAAGUAUAUCUAUUCAACUUAGAAUUUCUGGUUCUUCAAUCUUUGUAGAACUCUUGCAUAUCUCGUAAUUACAGAUCCAAGUUGAUGAUAAAUUUAACUUUGAAAAACCUAGCAGCGUAGAGGAGCUACUUGUUUGUAAUUUGGUAUGUAUUAAUUGAAUAAGAAGAUAGAAAAUAAGAAACAAACUAUUUGCUGUAUUUCAAAGUUUACAAUGGGAAGAGUCUGUGAAGAAAACCUCAAAAAUGGACUAUCAAGAAGAAAUGUGUUAAAGAAGGUGUAAGGAAGUGAAUUCUCGAAAUCUGAGGAUUAGACUUCGUCUAGAAUCGACUGAUUGUCGAGGGUAUGAGCUUCGGAAGGUCCGGAGGUGAUUAAAAUGCAUAAAGUGCAUUAAGGAAGAGUCCGCGAGAGCAGCAGUGCAAAAUCUGCACUGGAGCAGAAUUUGCUCUCGGGGACCGGUCCCUGGCAGGGAGGGACCGGUCCCAUCAGGCUGGGCUGGCGGGGAUCCUUGAUGCAACCGGUCUCUCGCAGGUAAGGACCAGUCCUCGAACGUUAACCCAGCGAAAAAGGCCGAAAUUUGGCUAAGUCCCGAAAAUCCAACUCUCGGGAACCGGUCUCUCGAACAAGGACCGGUCUGCCGGGGACCGAUCUCUCAGGCUGGGACCGGUUCCCGAAUGCGAAAUCCCCUCUGCCCAAAUAGGAGGCUCUUGGGGACCGGUCUCCCCGAGCUAGGACCGGUCGCUCGCUGCGAAAUCAGCCCAGUGAAGGCUGUUUAAUAGAUGGAAAGUUGAGGGGUUUAUUUGCAAAAUGGCUUAUAUGAGAGGCUGGGGGACCUCUCUUCUCUCACAUCCCUCUCAUUUGCUCUCUCCCUCUUAUACUCUUUCUCUCUCUCUCUCUCUAG
rnacentral:lncRNA from 1 species